rnacentral:lncRNA from 1 species
CUGCUGGGGGGUAGUAUUUAGAGCAAUGUCCCAUUAUCCAGGGGGGUCCUAACAAUUCCUACGAUUAAAUCACAUUAUCCAGGCGAAUCCUAAUGACUCUUGUUGGGGAAGUAUUUGGGUUUGGCCAUGCCACCCAACUGUUUGUGUUCUAGGCUAAGUCCCAUUUUUCUGGAGGGUCCUAACAACUCUUAACUGAAUCCUACUUCAACAUGCAAGUCAUUUUAUGCCCUUUGCUAUCCAUGAUUACCCCUAACCUUUAAAUGAGUCCCAUUUUUCAGGAGGGUCCUGAGGGUUCCAACUUAAAUCCAAAUUCUAUUUUCUGGUUGUUUCUGCUAGUGAUUAUUGUCCAGGACGGUUUCUGCGACUCUUACUGGGGAGGUGUUGGUGCCUGCCCAUGUUACUCGUGCCUGUAUGAGUUUUCAACUUAGUCCUAUUCAACUUCCACACCCCCUUUUAACCCUCAGUUGUUUCUAUUGGGGUUUUCUAAUUAAAUUUUAUCCCGAUAUACCCUGGCUGGGGAGAAUAUUUAUAGCGGAUUAUGUUUCUUUUGACCUUUAGCUGGGUCCCAUUUUCAUAUGGCCCUAAGGUUUUGAUUAUACCUGCCAUGUGCCUGCCUUCCCCUAUGGAUAGCCCCCCUUAAGAUCUUCUGGAAUUUUUCUUCCCAUGUGUCAAUCAAAGAAAACUUGUCAGUUUGAAAAGUGGUGGUUAGCUUGCGGCAUUUUCGUUGGAAGAGGCUUCCUCACUGUCGUGUUCCGUUGUCCAAAUUUCCAUGUUGAUUAUGAGUUGCCUGAGUUGGUUGGAGGACCCCCGAACCUUUAUGGCUUUACUUUGCUUGCCCAUUACUAUGUUACAUUCCUAACCCUUUUUCCAGAAUUCUUGCACCUUUCCCGAGAUAACCAAGUCAAUGUAUUAUGCUUGGCUGACCCUCUGACCCUUGUGGCUUUACUCUACUCUCCCAUCCUUGUGUUGCACUUUCGACCCUCUUGCUAGAACUCUUACAUCCUUUCCUGAGGUUGCUGAGUCAAAGUAUUACGCUUGGUUAAUCCUUGUGGCCUUUCCUACUUCGUGUUGCACUUUUGACUUUCGCCAGAAUCUUUGCAUUCUUUUUGAGAUUUCCCGGUUAGUGCAUUAUGCUCGACCGUCCUUCGAGCCUUGUGGCUUUACUUUGCUUCCCAUCUUUUUGUUACAUUUCUGACCUUUUGUCAGAACACUUAAAUCUUUCCUAAGAUUGCGAGUCAGUUUACUAUGCUUGGCUAACCUUUGUGGUCUUUCCCAUCUUUGUAUAUGCUCCUUCAGUUGCAACGGUAACUUUGAUUUCACCUUGAAAGACAUUGCCUGUUAAUUGGCUAACCAAUUUCUCUGUCACCCUUAUCGCAAAAAAUUCCCCUUCUCCAUUUAGACCCCAUAUCCUUUAUUCGUUGCAUUGCUUAUGAACUAACAUGUUCCCAUCCUUUGUGUUUCACAUGACCCCCUAAAGCACGUCCAUUGCCCCCCACUUCGUGUUUAUGCUAUUUUUAUUGACUUAAACCGCUGGCCUUGACCUUGAGGUUUGUUGCUCCUUCACUUGUCAUGAUCAUUGAUUUUCAUUUGAAGACCAUGUUUGCCUCUUGACUAACCGCUUCCGUUGGAAACCUUCCAAAAAAUACCUCUUCUCAUUUGAACCCAAUACCUUCCGUCUGUUGCAUUGUUCCUGAACCGACGCCUACCAAACCUUUGUGUUUCACCUGAUCCCACAGUAUAUUUACCAACCAUAUUGUAUAUGAUGUUCUUUCCUGACCCAAAUCACUGGCUCUAACCUUGAGGUCUACUGCUCCAUCAGUAGCCAUGAUAACUUCAAUUUCUUCUUGGAGGAUCUUUCUUGUCACUGGUUUACCGCCCUUCUUGUCACAGAAAACACCUUGAUCCAUUCACCUAGCCCUCUUUUUGCUGAUCACUAGCCAUGAUAACUUCGAUUUCUUCUUGGAACACUUUUGAUCCGUUCACUCUGGCCCUCAUUCUGUUGAAUUGUUCACGAUUUGAUAUAUACCAAAACUUUGUAAUUCAAACGAAUCCAAAACAUGUUGAUUGUCACCAACUCAGUGUGCAUGUUGUUCCUUCCUGACUUAUGUUGCUUUGAUGUGACAAACAGAUCCCAUUUUGUGCAAUUGGAAAGAUGGUGGCAGAUUUUGAAGUCAUUUCUCACUUGUUUUGAGCCAACAAACUCAAGAAGAGGGAAUGAAUGGAACAAAAGGAACAUAGUAAAGGAUAAUGAAAGGAGAUGAUUCCUAAAAAAAAAAGUAAAAGGUAGAAACCUAUAAAAUGCGGGUACCAACUCUAAUGACCAUGACAUGCCCCUGCGACCUAUUUUGUUAAGAAAAUCUGAUGUUCAAAUCUUGUUAUACUUCCGAAACCGUGAAGCUGGGCUUCGAUGCUCCGAUUACCCAAUCUGAUUCUUAAUCCUUAUUCGACCCAUAGCGCCCAAUGGGUUUUCACCACCAAGCCUCUCGAGUUUUGUUCUUUUCUCUCAACUUACAGUCGCCUCAAGGUUCCCGUGAGGGUCUUCACCAAUAAGACUCUCUCAUCUUUUUCAUUUUUCAUCAUUUUUUUAAUUCUCUCAGCUCCUGUCACCUUACGGUGCCCAUGAGGGUUUUCACCAAUAAGACUCUCAUUUUUAUUAUAUUUCAUGCUUUGACCGGAGUGCUGCCCCUGACACGAAUCACCUCUACUUGCUCAACUUGGCAUCUCUUGAAGACUAAUUGGAAGGACUUUCUUUGGACCGUAACGUGGGUUUUGGUAUAGGGUUAAAAAAGAAAGUGUAUCAAAGGCUCAAAACAAUUCUAAUGGGCUUAAAACUACAAUAUUCGGAACCGGAUUUCUCGCAACAACCACCAUUUCUGCCUCAGUUUCUUGCUUGGGGACUUUUGGAUUUUUAUUUUGAUGAGACUGAACCGUGAGGCUGCCUACGUAUCUUUAACAGGAAUCAGUUCAAACGUAGUCCAUAAUUCCUUGUUUUUUCGUUGUUUGUCUGUUUUCCCUUUUUUCUUUCUGUUUUUUGUUCUUUUCUUUUUUUGUUUUGUUUUCUUUCUCUUUUCUUUUUCCUUUCCUCUUUUCUCUUUUCUCUUUUCUUUUCUUGUUUUUCGUUUCUUUUUCUUUUCUUUGUUUUCAUUCUUUUCAUUCUUUCCGUUCUUUUCCUUUCACUGCCUUCUCGCACUUGCAUUUCUGACCUUUGUUACUGAUUCCGAAAGAGGCUUAUGAAAGGAUAUAAAUAAAGCUUAAAAGGAUUAGCAAAGGAUAAAGUGUUUAGAUAGUAGAAUAAAAUGCCUUUGUCAUUGUAAUCUUCAAAAUAUACCAAGACAAGCAAGUACAAUCAGACAAAGGAAUUAUAAAUAAUAUCUCAUGACUGCAUCAGAACUAAUAGCCAUUUCUACAUAUUUUCCUUCCUCAUUUGUCAAAUAUAACGCACCACUAGAUAACACUCCAGCUACAACAAAUGGUCCCUGCCAGUUUGGUAAACUUGCUUUUACGAUUCCUUGAGGUUCUAUCUGCCCGUGGUUUGGGCUUCAAAAGAUCUCAAAGGGUCCAAAUCUAUUCUGCUUCCCCGCAAGUGCCACUAUUGCCUUAUGAGUAAUCUUUUAAGACCGGGCCUGGGGUUAUGCAUGCAUGUCAUAUUAUUAAAGCCAACAGGGAAAAGAAUUGUAAAAAGAAAAGAAAACUAAACCAAAUGACUAGAAAUAACGGAAAGUAGAAAAUUGCAUUAGACAUAUAGUGAAAGAACUUGGACAACAAAACAACUAAAAAGAGUAGGGUUAAAACCCUGGAACGAACCUAGACGACACUAAACAAAACUAGGAAAAAUGAAAGGAUAGAAGGGUUUGAAUCACAAGACAAUAUCCGGAUUACAACUCUGAAAAUAACCUGGACAAUAGAAAUGACAACAAAAUAAACCACCAAAACUCCUCUCUGGCUGACGAAGAAAUGGAGCAUUUUCCCAAUUACCCAUCACGACAUAUUAGCCACUGGGUUUCACAUCAAUAACACUAGGCAUUUCAAUGGCCUUCAUCGCAUUGUUCUUAACAGAUUGCUUUUGGGUUCCUUUAACCGGCUCUUUCUGAAGAUCAACCUUUGAUAGAGAUGAAAGCUUAGCAGCACCCGUGCCUCCGAGGCUCCCAGAAGAACAAUCACAUUCCAACAUGUACAUCUCAUUAUGCACAGGCGAUGGACUUUGGCUAGUGUCUGCUGCAUUCGGAUUUUGCACGACAAUGUCACCUGCAUCAAUAAGCUUUUGAAUUGCUUUCUCUAGACUCCAACACUUCUCUGUGUCAUGCCCUGGGGCAUCUGAGCAAUAUGCACACCUUUGAGAAAUAUCAAACUUCUUUGACAGAGGGGUUGGCAUUACUUGGCAUCUGAGCAAUAUGCGCACCUUUGAGAAUAAUCAAACUUCUUUAACAUAGGGUUUGACAUUUUUAUCUUAAUCGGCUUCAACAUGUCCAAUUGCUUUAAUCUUUGGAACAAACUGGCAUAUGAUACUCCGAUAGGGGUGAAAGCCUUUUCUUUUUUCAGUAACCUCUCAUUCUUACAUGCUUGGCUGGGCUGGAAACCUGAUCCAGGAGGUUUUUGGUAUGCUCGUGGGGGCGGACAGGCAUUCUAUGGAGCUAGUGAUGUACGAUUUUGGGAGUUCUCUGAAGAAAAGCAGUGUUGGGGAGGAUCAUUUGGUACGCAAAGGAUAUCCACGAGGACGAUGUCGAGGUUGGAAAUGCUGAUCAUCUUUUCUAUUUCUCUUUCUUCCGCCGAAGCUUACUUGGAUGUUCUGAAUAUCUUUCGAACCACUCAUGAUUUUGCUUGACUUGAUUCCCACUUUUACUUACUCUCCUAUUUUUAACACAUCAUUGGAAGGUUCUGCCAAGGCCGGGACCAAUGACUAAAGUAGGUGGGCUCAUGGGCUUGUAAAAAGCUCAACCAUUUCUUAUUUACCAAUUGAGGUAUUGACUUGAGUAGCUUGCGCCCUCUAUCUGAGCCCAAACUCACUAAAUCUCUCCUCUUGUUUCUUUUUCAGUUAGAUAGGGAAGAGCGAUCUGGGAUAAUACUUGACUUGUAUUGAAAGUAUCGAACAAAAUCUUCGGCCAUGUCACAUAAUGUAGGCUAUUUAUCGACAUCUUGAUGAGUAUACCAGUCCAAUGCUGCCCCAGUAAGGCUCUUGAUGAAAUAUGCUAUCAACGGGUCAUCUUUGUCUCUAACGCCUCUCAUUUCACUGCAAUAAACCCUCAGGUUGGAUACCGGAUCUCCACACCCGUCGUACAAGUUAGGUAUUGGCACUUUGAACCCUACGGGUGGGCGAACUUCAGGGGAUACAAAUAGUUCUUUGCAAGCCGUAUUACACUGGUCUCUCAUUCCUUGCUUGUUCUUCAAGGACUGUCUUGUACCUUCCAGCCUCUGGGGUAUUCCAUUCUACCCUUCUUUUCCUGUGAACUUUUCAUUCUCAACAUGAGGAUCAUCCUGCAGGCUCUGCUUGUAUGAGUCAGGAACCUUGUGGGCCACCUCUGCGGGAUAGUAUUGGAUAUCAUGAGCUAUGAGUAAAUAUUCAGUGUUGGAGAUUGUUGGAGGAAAGUGAUGGAGCUACUGGGGUGAUUGGGAAAACUUCAGUAAGCAGGUGCAUCUUGAGAGUAUGGAGGAUCAUUCGAAACCAAUAUGAGCUCUGAGUAAAUAUUCAUUGUUUGGGAUAGUUGGAUAGCAAGUGACGGAGCUACUGGGGUGGUUGGUAAAACUGUAGUAAGUGGGUGCAUCUGGAGAGUAUGGAGGAUCGUUUGAAACUACGAUCGAAGUUUGGAGAAGGGUAGCAUAUAAGCAGCUGGGUAGUAGCGGGGUGGUAUUGUCCCGGUCAUCCAAGCAUGAUACAUUUCUGCCAUGAGUUGUCUUAACCUUUUUACCUCUUCAAUUAACCCACUGUUCUGCACAACCAACUACUUUCGGGCCCCGGUAUCGACCAACUCAGUUCUAUCGUUGUUGUCUGCCAUUGCCUUUGACUUUGUGCUGUAGAGGAGAGUUACUACUUUAAAGACCAAAAACCAACCACCCUUCUUCUUGAGUAUAACAAAAUGAAGCUAUCAUGUUAGCUUUAGGGCAUUAAGCAUCUAAAAUAUCACAUUGCGUGCAAUGCACCUAGUCACAGUUACCGGUUCUAACAUGACUUCAAGGGUAUGAAGAUCAUAUGGCAUCAUCCCAUUUUGUUCAUUUCAACCUCUCUCUUUCUUUGCUUUUCUGGCACUUGCUUGAUCAUUUUCAUAUAUCUUUUUCUAUUUAUCACUCUUUCCUUUCCUCUAAUUUUCAUGUCCCAUAAUUACACCAUUUUUUCUUUGUUUUUCUUUCUCUUUUUUUUUUGAUUUUUUAUCUUUAUCUCUUUUUUGUUUCUAUAAAACAAAAUGAUUCGAUUGAACCCUAUGUAGGUUGCCUACGCAUCAUGACCCCGCAUGAAUCAGAUCUUUGCGUAGUUCUGAAAGAUCGAGAAUUAAGCAAAUAAACUAACUCAUUUUUGUUUAUUUUUAUACAACUCAAACCAUGAAAGCUCUAAGAUACAAAAGAACACAUAUUUUAUCCUAUUUUUGAAAAUCAACUUGAAACUAUUUCAAUACCACCAAAAACAUAUGAUACUAAGCAACAAAGAUACAAAUCCAACCUUAUCUCACUCUUGACCCUUUUUAAAGAUAAGCUACUAGCUGACGGCCAAAUCAUUUACAAAAGAUGGUCACACAUGCAAAAAAUGAUAAAUUCUGCAAUUCUGGACAGCCUCAAAUGACAAAGUUGCAGCAUUAAUGCACUUCAAGCAAUUUCCAUAAACAUUUGCAAACCUCAACAAAUCACCUAAAAAGUAGUAAUCCAUAAAAAAACAAAGCUUUGUAUUUUCAUUCUUUACUUCCUGCUUUCUCUUCUUCUUUUCAUCAUUUUUAAUUUGCUUUAAGGAUGAUCCAAAGUAACAAAAACUAAAAACUAAAUACUACUAAAUUAAAAUAGCAAAAAUCAGCCAUACAAAUAUAGUAACUAUAUUAAAAAAAAUUAAUUACUAACAUUACUAAGUAUUCCCUAAAGCCUACAACUAAAAAAAUUAUUAUACUAGAUAAGAUUAUAUUUUGGAAACUCUACUUUCUUUGUACAUGAAAAUAAAGUUAAUACUCUCAAAAAAAGUAACUCUUUUGUAGUUUUUUUUAUUUUGUUAAAUAAACAAACUACAAAAGUGAAAUUAAGACUAAAAUAUCCAGAUUAAACUUAAUAAAUAUAUUUACAUGCUAAAAAGUGAGUGAAAAUCUAAAUAACACGGUUGUAACUUGACUGCUAAUUAAAACUCAGCAACUAUGCAGGAUCAAACUCAACAUGUAAUUAAAAUUUAGAACCAAGCAGAAAAUUAUGCUACAAACAACUCUACAAAUUACAUUUAUUGCCUGUUGGACCAACUGACACCAAACUAAACUAGCAGUAACAAACAAGGUAACUUUAAGCGAUAUUUUUCAGCUUGUAAUUCCCUAUUAAUUGAAUCACCAAAACAUUUGUAAUCAACUGAAUUCAACAGUGCAGAAAAAUCAGCUUGCACUCACUAGACAACUGGUGCAAAAAGUGCAAAUUUUCAAGGUUGUUUCAACAACCUUCAAUAACACAUUUGUAAUCAACUGAAUUCAACAGUGCAGAAAAAUCAGCUUGCACUCACUAGACAACUUGUGCAAAAAGUACAAAUUUUCAAGGUUGUUUCAACAACUUUCAAUAGCAGUCUAAAACACUCUUAUUUGAAUUCAAAGUUCUUCAAACAAGCUCUAAUGUCCACACCGAGUUUCAGGAUUACAAAAUGUUGUAGAAAAAUACAAAUAAUGCUUAGGAAACUUGUAUUACAUCAACAACUUUCAUUUAAAUGCAAAAUUCUACAAUUCAAAUAAGCUGGCAGGUUCGCUAUUCAAUUGCUUCUCAAAACUCAAACUUCAGCAACGCCUUGAGCAUUAAAUUCAGCAGCAAUAGGCUGAUUCGAACAAGCUGGCAGGUUCGCUACUCCGUUGCUUCUCAAACCUCAGAACUUCAGCAACAGCUUGAGCACUAAAUUCAACAGUAGUAGGCACAGAAAUUUUUCAGCUCGAAACGACGACCUCAAUAGUAGAAACAAAGCAUUGGAACCACAGUAAUAUUGAGUAAGAAUAACCACUAAGUACAGCUGAAUAGUGCAGGAUCUGCUUUCAAGAAAAAAACAGCUCAAAACUUGCAUUUCAAUAGUGUAUUAUUGGCAUAUAAACUGAAGCAACGCAAUUGAGUUAACUGAAGCUAAAACUUUUGUAAAAUUCCCUCAAUUGUUAAGAAAAACUAUGGUAACAACAAUCAAUUAAAGAAAUAUGGAAAUCUUCAUUGUUGAGCGAAACAUGAACAAUGUAGGGUUGUGGACAUCAAGUUGAAAUCCUUUAGAGCAACAGAAAACAAGAAGCAAAUUGUUUUCCAGCAAACAUGCAACUUUUGCCAGCAGAUUCUAACCAACUGGACAAUAGUUUAUGUAACAAGAGCACUCAAUUCAACAAGGAGAAUAUUUUAGAAGUAAAAACCAGAUUUCAAACUAUCAAUUCGAAACAUGAGCACAAUCUCAACUGACAUAAAUUUCCAACAGAGUUAGCUUACUGUAUGUUCAAUCAAAUCACAAUUCAAGCAUGCUCAAUCUCUAGUCCCACUGAAUCCCCUCUAUUAAACUCAACAAUAAUAACAACUAUUAGAAGUCAGUAGUAACAAGUUCAAACUAGGAGAAUUUCAGCUAUCAAUUUACUCCAAAAACUUCACAAAAGUGGCAAACUUCAAUAAGACAAGCUUCAGAACAGCAUAGUCAUACCACAAAGAUAAUUGGUAUUUAAUGCAGGAUUUUCUUUCAAACAUUGGCCCACGAAAAAUUCAUAUAUUGAAUUAAAAUCACCAAACAAUACUCCAACAAAAAAAGAUUGAUCUCAACAGAACUUUCGCCAGCAUAAAAGAAGUUUGACAAGAGAAUUACAACUUGAACUCUAAGUAUUUCAAUAGUAGAUUCCAUUGACACAACUCAAUUCACACAAUUUCCAACAAACAACUUCUGAAUUCUAAAACUAACCUAUGUGGCUAAAAGUGGCUAGAAGUACAAAAUUUGGCUAUGAUCCCGCAAAGCCGAGAACCUAAGAUUUACUAGGAAGACCGGACCCAAUGUGGGUUGCCUACAUAUCACACUCUGAAAGACGAGAAUCAGGUUUGCGUAGUUCGGGCAAAUUGGAUGCGGGCAAGAAAUAAAAAAUACACCUAAUUUUUAAAGAAAAUAUUUUCUUUUGUCUCUUUUCAAAAAUGAUGAAAUAUGUAAACUCUUUUUGGAUUUUUUUUUCUUUCUUAUUUUUUUUCGUGGAAAUGAUGAAAAAGAGCAAAAUAUUUUUUGAAUUUUUCAUAUAUAUUUUGUCUCUUUUUUUAAUUGAAAUAUAACAAAAACAUAACUAGACCCUACUUGCUUUAUUUUCACACUUCACCCUCUUUUUCUUUUCAUUUGUUUUUUUUCAUCAUUUUUUUCAUUUACCCUCAGCUAUGAUUGGUCCGCCAAAUGACCCUUUAUCCUAUGAAAAGGCAACAUGUGGCAUAUAAAAUGCAUUGGGAUGGUCUUUUAAUUUGGGUACACCUGUCCUAGACGGACUCAACCCCUGUGUUGAGUCCCCUAAGUCAAAUGCAUGAUGCAGAUAAGUGUUCAUACUAGGGAUUUGGCAUGUGAUUGAGUUAUUCUAGGUUUAAAACCUUGGUAUAGGGUCUAGACUGUACACCCGAACGGACAACUCGAGUUGAGGAUGAGGCUACGUACCGGGAACUAAAAGGUCGUCCGACUUUGUAACUUGUCCGAGCCUUUAACAGAAUAGAGAGUCUCGACCAACGAGCAUAACCCUGGAGGUGAGAAGAGAAGGGUUUCACGGCCAUAUACAGUUAAGAUAAUACCAAAGCAGUAAAAGGCAACAUUUAGCAUAUCCAGCCCAAACAUGUAAUAAAAUCAGAUAAUAAAUACUUUUAUUAUUAUUAUUUUUAAAGAGAAUUGCAACGUCGUUAAAACGUGUCUUGAACCACGUCACAUAAAUGCACCCAUAGUUUUUGACACAUUUCAACUUCAUUAUGAUUUGGAUAUGUGUCACAUAAAUGUGCACCCGAGUUUAGGAAAGGUAAAUUAUUAAGCUAGCGCGCCUAAAGCAAUUAUACGCUCACACUUUGCGAGGGCUAUGGAAUUCACUAAAUGGCACACCUUGAAGUCUAAGGACCAUCAUAAAAUUAAUUAAAGGACCAAUACAAGAUUAAUUAAGUCGAGGACCAUGCAAUUGUCAUUUUACUUGGCAGGCGCACCUCAAUUCCAUCUUUAAAGGGUAUUUAAACUAAAAGCUUGGAGGACCAUAAAUUAUGUCUUAUCUAAUAUAGCUCACCUCCCUUAAAGAUUUGUAGGUUUACUCUUUCGAUCGUAACAAAAAACAAACUAAGCCAGUUCGACAAGUUACUUGUGGGACAUCCAACCAGCCACUUCAUUGAUCGAAAUUUGAAUAAAAAUCGUUAGCUAUUCAGUGGACUUGAAGAAUUAUCUUAUAAUGGAGGUCAAGCUCAAAUUGGAAAAAUGGCCGGUGAUCUUUGACAAAGUCAUAAAAUAAACAAAACUUGAAGACAAUUAUAUAAAAAUGCAUAUAAAAUGCUAAUAAAGCCACUAUCAUUUCCAAGCAGAGACAACCAACGUUCCAUAAGCUAAUCAGCAGCUACACUUAGAGCAUAAAGCUCAAACAUCUCAUUCCGUCAACCUUAUCAAAAUAAUCAAAUGAGACAACGAAAGAAAGUAGUGCAUCAAAUAUUCAAAAUUCUGUCAAAUUGUUCAAUAUUAACCAAAAGGAAUUCAAGCAAUACAAAGGUUGAAAAAGAACAACAAGAGUUGCGAAUUUCCAGCAAUUGAAAUGCCAUUAAGACUCUCGAUUUUCAAGUUAGUGAUUAUAUACCCAAAUUCUCAUUCUAACGCAGAUUUAAAAAAACAUACACAAAUGCUCAAACCCAUAAAACCAACUAUAACUAAUAAUAUAUAAAACUCAAUGAAAAGAAUGGACCUUGGGCCUAAUUCAACCCCAAAAGCUAGCUUAUGAAGUGAGGAUUGCCUAAGCCAUAUAAGGAGACCAAGGACCUCAAAUCCCUCCGAUGUGGGACAACNNNNNNNNNNNNNNNNNNNNNNNNNNNNNNNNNNNNNNNNNNNNNNNNNNNNNNNNNNNNNNNNNNNNNNNNNNNNNNNNNNNNNNNNNNNNNNNNNNNNNNNNNNNNNNNNNNNNNNNNNNNNNNNNNNNNNNNNNNNNNNNNNNNNNNNNNNNNNNNNNNNNNNAGAUACCAUGAAAAGAAUGGACCUUGGGCCUAACUCAACCCCAAAAGCUAGCUUAUGAGGUGAGGAUUGCCCAAGCUUUAUAAGGAGACCAAGGACCUCAAAUCCCUCCGAUGUGGGACAACUCAACACUCAAAGCAGACACGCAUAAAAGGUAAAACAUUAAAGCAACAAUGACAUGGAUAGUGACAUAAAUCGAAAAUACUUGAAUCAUAGAGAAAUGAAUUAGAGUAGUGAAAAAGAGAAAGAGCCACCUUAGUUGCUGAAAAUCUUCAAAAACACGUACAUCGCAAAGGAGUAUCUAAACAUAGUUUUCCUCAACCGAACUACAGACCAUAAACUCGAACUGGAAUCGCAACGGCGAACGACUCAACUUAGCCAGAUUCGGGAUAGUGACCUCGAGCUGGUUUUGCCUUGGUUUUGAGGUGAUAUUUUCAGUGGGAGUUGCAGCGUCUAGCUUCAAGGUGAAGCAAAGAAGACGAAGUUAAGGGGGGUCCGAUUUUUGAGUUGCGGCUGUUUCCAUUUCUGGUCCUAGGAGUCUCUUCGGUGUUUUUCAAAUGGAGAAGAUGACUGAUCUACUUCUCAAGAAGAACCAAAGUCAACUAGGUAUAAACUAGUGUUUGCAAUCACUAAUUUCACAUUAAAACCCUGAUUUAGUCCAAAUAUCAAACACCCAUAAACAAUCAAGCAUUCAAACACAAGACCCAUCAGUUAGCCACACUAGGUUUGAGCCACAACCCUAGCUAAUAGGUAUAGAUGCUCAUGAUUAUAGAAGAAAACAAAUAAGUAAAUGAACAAAAAUCCAUAUUAAUUAAUUACUAGAUAAAACUUGAAGAUUCAAUUAUGAAACUAAGCAAAAAUUACUCAAAAUAUAAAAGAAGUACUGUUCACGAGUGCAGCUAUUCGUCCAAAUACAACCGAUGACCUAAAAAAAUGAAAAGAAACUAUUUAUACUAGGCCAAAAUUUCUAGACAAAAAUGCCCUUGUGAGGCUAGUGUGGAUGCACAGAAUCGAGUGCAGCCGCACUAUGACUCUUGGUUGAAAUAAUUUGCUCUCUGAACUUGGACUUUGUGGACAGCACAAAGCUGAGUGCGGUCGUGGUGGCUUCUGUUGCGGUCCGGACAAAAUGGAUCGUGGACCGCAUUGGAUAUUCCUCCAAUAUUGGCACUCUCUGAACAUGGGCUUUGCGGACCGCACAAAGCGAGUGCGGCCAUAAUAAAGUCAGUACGAUCCGCACAAAAUACUGUGUGUCUGCAUUGCGUGGCUGCCUAAAAUGCAUAGUCUCUGAACCUCCUCUUUGCGGACCACACAGAAUGGUGUGCGGCUGCACUACUCCUAUUUUACUAAGCAGGCCUUGUUCUUGGUACUUGUGCAGGUUUCGCUCCUUUUUUAGCUGGUUUUUACAUAUUGUCACCUUCUUGACCAAACCCUGCAAUUAAGUACAAUAUGUAAGCCUUUGGGACUAUUUUGUGCACAUUUCUAAUCAAAACUUAAGCAAGAAGGAGUGUAAAAGGCAUCAUAAUCCCUAGUUAUCAGUGAUGCAUGUGUAAAAAAAAUGCAAGUCAGAUCCUCUUUCAAGUCAAAAAAGGAAGUUAGUAUCUCAAGGCCACUUGAUAUCCUCCAUAUGGAUCUGUGUGAACCUAUGAGGAUGCCAAGUAUAGGAUGAAAGAGGUACAUAUUCUCGUCAGUAUUGAUAAUUACUCCAGAUUUACAUGGACCGUGUUCCUCAGAACUGAAGAUGAGACUCCAGCCGACAUAGAGGAACCUGGUCCCUCAAUCACAAUAUCUGAAGAAGAAAAUAGAGUUGUAGAUGUUGUACAUGGAACUCCAGCUUCUGAGAAAUUCAAACCAGAUCAAAGAUAAGAAACUCACUUGCCUUGUCAGCCUUUCUCUCUCAAAUAGAGCCUAAGAAUAUUAAGGAAGCAUUGAAAGAUGUUGACUGGAUUACAAGUAUGCAAGAAGAGCUCCGUUAAUUUGAGAGGAAUAGUAUGUGGAACCUGGUUGCACGACUUGUAGACAGAACCGUUAAAGGAGCUAGGCUCCUCGUGCUUGAUGUGAAAUGCUGUCAAAAUUCCUUCUAGAAAAUGGCUUGCAAGAGGGAAAAUUGACAACACUCUUUUUCUGAAAAAUUAGGAAGGAACCUAAUCAUUGUGCAUAUCUAUGUUGAUGGGAUCAUCUUUGGAGCAACAAUUGACUCCUAAUGUGAAGAAUGUUCAUAACUCAUAGGAAGUGAGUUAGAAAUGAGUACGAUGGGGCAACUAAAUUUCUUCUUUGAUUUACAAGUGAAGCAAGAAACUGCUAAGAGAAUCGUAGGAUAUAUCAAAGGGAUGCAGGACCUAGUUCUCACUAUCCCUCAGGAGAUAACCUUGACUUAAUAGGAUAUGCUAAUGUUGAUCAUGUUGAAUAUCUACUAGAAAGAAACAACACAUCUGGAACGGCAUAUUUUCUGGGUUCAUGCUUGAUCUCAUGGGGUACAAAGAAACAAACAGUGUGACUUUUUCUAUUGCCGAGCUGAAUAUAUGGUUGUUGCUUCUUGUUGUGCUUAUUUACUAUGGAUCAAGCAACAACUGGAAGAUUUUGGUAUAUAUACUGAUUGUAUACUACUUCUAUGUGACAACACAAGUGAUCUUAACGUGGCAAAGAAUUUGGUUCAACACAAAAGAACCAAGCACAUUGAUGUCAAACACCAUUUUUCUCUGGGACAAUGAUGAAAAGGUUCUGAUUUGUAUGAAGUUUUGGAAGACGAAGGGUCAGGUAGCAGACAUCUUCACCAAGGCACUGAGAAUGGAACAUUUUGAAAGAAAUCAUCUAGAGUUGGGCCUGAUCAAGCUCAACUAAGGACCUAGUGCCUCGAUGAUUGGCUAUGUUAAGAAGGAAAGGUACAAUGCUAAAAAGUGUUUUUCGGCGACAUCUAACUCAAAUCUAUAUUGUUGCAGAUAUACACAUAUAGCAUUUUUAGGACAAAAAGAAGUAAGAGUGACAUUGCACUUCUAGGAGUCUUUGCUCAAAAUUUAAAAAAAAACCGUCACGGAACCUGGUUUCUGUGACUCAGGUUAGUAGUCUCUUCAAUACUUAUUUUUUUAAGUUGCUGAAGUGUCAUGUCAUUAAUUUGUUUCUCCUGCCUCUCCUCCUAACUUUUGAAGUCCAAAAUGUUAAACCUUUUCUAGACUAACAUGUUGCCCAAAAGAGGGACUUCUCUAUCCUACACCCAAAUGAAACCAAUUCUUUUCUUCAAAACCAAAAUCAAUCUUGUCUCAAAAUAAUCCUUCUUUCCAAAUAUGUCAGAAGUCAAUCCAACUCUCUCAUUUUCCAAAAACCUAACUCCAUCAUAAUCAAAACCCCAAGAAGUCUUUGGUAGAUUUUGAUGGAAAUUUAACUAAAAAGGAACAUGGUAGAUCUAAUAUUCUAAAGUGUGAAGCUGAAGUUGUGGUUGGAUUUGUGGAUGUCUUGAAGGAUGGGGAAAUUGGUAAAUGUAAAGACUGAAUGAGAGACUUGAUCCAUCAAGUCCUUCUCAUGAAGUCAAUCUUAAUGAUGAUCUUUUUCUCUUUGAGUUCUGUGUUUCAACGAACUUUCAAUCCAGUAAAGAGGAUUGAGAAAAGUACGCUAGUUGAUGAUGAAGCGGUAUGACCCGCUGAUAUGGUAACUGUGGAAGAGAGAAUGAAGUUGAAAAAUCUCUAUUUAUGAGAACGAAUUAAAAAAAUGGAGAAAAAAGUUGUCUGGGAAAGAUGCAGCGGAUGAUAAAGGUAAACAGAUUAAGAAGAAGAAGAGGGAGACAUGGAUGCUCAGGGAUAGAAAGGAUAGUGUAGGUGAGGAACCCGGUUCCUUACAGAAGCAAAAGGUUAAGCCAUUAGGUUUGGAGGGAGAAGACGUUGAAGUCUCAAAAAGUGUUGUAAGAUGGAGUGUCGAUUCUGAUAUUGCUGAAAAAAUGGAGGAAAUUGUUGACAUUGUUGAGUUCCAAAAAUAGAAUCACUUCUUUACUCCUCCAAGUCCCGAUGUUUCUAAAGAAGAAGCAAAAAAUUUCUACGUUUUACGUGAUGCUAUAAUGUUAUAUGUGCUUGGGACUGAGUUUGUUCUUGAUGAGAUGAAGCUUGGGGAGAUUCUUGGUGAUCUAAUUUAUGGUUCAACCUACUUAGAUAGGUGAGAACUUGGUCCUUGAGUACCCAUGGAAGAAUAGAAUGCUAAAUUGCAGGGUGAGGAUGAAAGAUUGAGGAAACAGGUGGACGAACUAAGAGAGACGAUGAUCAUUAAUCAAAGGAGAGUAAAUGAACGAGGGUACAAACUUAUCAAGGCCUUAGACCCUUACUUUUCCUCCUGCCCAGUGAUCCAUGACUUUCACUCCUUCUAAAUUCCCUUGAAUUCUUAUCUUCUUUUAAUCCCUAUAUUUGAUGACAUUGGUACUUCAUUUUCUUAAAUUGUCAUAUUAUGUAUGUUGAAACUAUUGUGCUUUUAUCAUAAUUACUCCAUUAUGGUCAAUCACUAUAUUUUGUGCCAUGAAAUUCACUUGUUGUUCUUGUUACAUUUAUGUUGUGUUGCCCAAAUGGACUGAGUUAAUAUUACUGAACUUCUUUUGGUUGUGCUUCUUUUGUUAUUCUUUUCGAUGAUGCCAAAAGGGGGAAGUUAUAUAGGUGUCAACAUGAGGGGAACAAAAUCGAAUUGAUAUGUUGUGUUGUGCAUAGAGGAGGAAUAUAAUCGAAUUGAUAUGGUCUGUUGUGCAUGAAAGAUAGCUCUGUUUCACAGUGGGGACGUUGCUGAUAAUGCAGGGAAAGAUAUGAGGAAUCUGGUUCUCUGGUACUCAAGAGAUAGCUCUACUUCGCAGGGGGAACAUUGCUGAUAAAAUGUUGAUUAUAGGUCUGAUCCACAAGAAAAAAUGUGAGGAAUCUUGUUCUGAAGAGGAAUAUUAAUUAUAGGGUUGUCAUCAUCAAAAAGGGGGAAAUUGAUAAAGUUAUGGAACGUUGAGUUAUGAUGAUUUGCCUAAUAGUCUUGAGGAACCAAUUGUGAUCAGCUCCUUAUGUUCCGUUUUCAUAGGGAAUAUGGCUGAUUCGUAGGGGGACCAUAUGGAGAUCUAGUUCUUAGGGAGAAUAUCAAUUCUAAGUUUGUAGUUAUCAAAAAGGGGGAAAUUGAUAGGUUACAAGUACCCUGGGCCCAAGUACUUUACCUUAUGUGUUGAUAAUCUAACAAACUUAUCAUUCAGAACCAGAUAAGGAACAUGUGACACACUUACAAGACCUUGAGAUCACAAAGUUUCAAGUUGGGAUCCAGCCUUUGAGAAAGGAAGGUGAAUGUUAUUACUUAAUCAAAGGACCUAUAGAGGCUGACCAUAGAAGAGCUGGUUGGAAAUCUAAAGACCUACGAGAUGAAGAGGAAGAUAGACAGUAAAAAGAAUAGAAUCAAAGAAAGAAAAGAACCUGGUACUCAAAGCUGAUUGCAAUAACUCAAGUGAGGAAGAGUAGAAGGAACAGCUUAGGGAACAGGUCCCUACCAGUUCCCGAGGAGACCGUACGAAGUCAACUCUCCUGCAGGAAAGUUGCUGCCUGCACACGUUAUUGUACAGGAACAGCACAAUAGUAAACUUUCUUGGAAGGAUUUUUACCUACCUUAUUUACAUCAUUGUAAAUGAUGCCACACAAACAUAAAUACAAUUGAUGAAGGUAAAAUAACUUACUUCAUGAGAGAACCAGAUAAAGGACCUGAAGCAUACCUAGUAUAAUCAUUGAGUUAAUCCACUCAAGAUAAUCCGAUAGUGUAUCUUUAGAUUCACAGGAACCAGAUUAGGGACAUGAUACCUUGGUGUUCCCCAGGCAGAAGUAUAAGUUAACAGUACAGUUGGAAAGCAACUACACAAAUUGACUGCCUAUAACUAUACACGCAACAGUUCUCCAGAUAAUGUAGCAGUCAUUUCCCAUUGAGAAGAGGCAUGUACUAACCAAGAUUUGACAUCACUAAGGUGAUUUUUUUGUUGUAUAAACCUGGCGCAAGAUACAACACAUUUUUCCUAACACUUGCAAAAUCAGAAACGAAAAUAUGCUCUCAAGUGCAAGAACCACCUCUCUUUAGAACAAAGUUGUUUCAACCUCAAGGACCAGAUCCAAGAUUGAAGAUGUCUUAAGUCCUUAGGUUUGUUGAGUCUUUAUUAUUUGUUCUUCAAUUGUAACUCCUAUCUUGCUUUCUUAUAAGUUGUUUUAGGAAAUACAAAAUCACAAACCCUCCAAGUUUGUGUCUUGGCUAGAGUUAGUCGAGUUGUAAAGUAUUUGUAAUAGAGUUAUUACAAAGUGGCUUGUAAUAGGGUUAUUACAAGUUAGAGUGAUUAAAUACUUUGUCACUAUAGAGUGACAAAGUGGCUUGUGGUGAGAGUAUCACAAGUUAGUCAAAGUCUUUGUAACUAGAGACUCACAAAGUGGCUUGUGGUAAGAGUGACACAACUUAGUUAAAUCCUUUGUAAUAGAGGUAUUACAAAGUGGCUUUUAAUAGAUGUUUACAAGUUGGUGAAGUUGAAAGCCUACAAGAAUAGGUCGUGGUUUUUGUCCUCUUGAGUUGGGAUUUUUUCACAUAAAAAUCCUCUGUGUUGUUUACUUACUGCCGAGCUAUUGUGGUAACAAUUUAAAAACUUGAUUCCCAUACUAAUUGGUUGCACAGGCUAUUGUUAACAAUAGGAACUGCUAGAGAAUCUGGUUUUUUAUACAGUGGAAACUUAUCUUGUGUCUCAUCCACAUACAGGUUCUGCAGUUAGCACUAUACCAAACUGAUAUUAUCCAAAUAUCGCUGUACAGUUUGGUUCCUCGGUAUUUUCGGUAAAAACUCAUAGAAACCUGGUUCAUCUAGUGGAUGCUCAAUUCCUAACACCUCUCCUAACUAUGAACCAUCUCAAUCUAUCGAGUUAUGUCGACAACCUCAUCAAAGGUAGUACCAGAUACUCUCUCUCUCUCUAGUCAUAAGCAAUUGAAGCUGAAAACCGAGGCCAUCUAUAAACCAUGUAAUCCUCUCUCAAUCUGUGGGAAUCAACCAGAUCGCAUGGCGAGCCAACUUAGAGAACCGCAUCUCAUACUGUGAAACAAAUCUGUCGCCCUGACGAAGCUGCUCGAACUGCCUACGCAGCUCCUCUUAGAGAGACUUAGGUACAAACUUCUCCAGAAAGAGAAUGGAGAAAUAUUUCCAAAAAAGGGGCGUUGCUCCAACCGGCCUAUGCCUCUCGUAAUCCUCCCACCAACUAAGUGCAGCACCAGAGAACCAGAAAGUAGUGAAUGAGACCCCACUGGUCUCCAAAAUACCCGCAGUCGAAGUAUCCUCUAACACUUGUCCAGGAAACGCCCUCUUACACUACUAAAAGUCAGAGCUUGAAGUCUACCAAACCUCUCCAAUCUACGAUGCCUAUCCUUUGGCAUAAUAGGAGCUACACUUUCUUAAGCAGCUGCAACUGGCUGGGCUUGAUGUGCCCCCGGUGUCUGAAUUUCUUGCACAACCUGCUCAGAUGUGCGAAUGCCUUCCCCGGCCUGGAAGUAGCCACAGCUGUAGUAAUGAGACCGCAUGAGCCAGGCCAGUAAACACUGAUAGAAUCUAGAUCGGCGCCUCCUGAAGGCCUGGGAUAAUAAUAGGCAAAGUCGGUGCCUGAGCUGGUACUUCUGGAGUGUCUGCAGAUGGGACAUGAUCCUUAACUAGGGCGGCUGGUGGAACUGCAGGUGCUGUCCUAGCUGUUGUGCGGGCUACUCCUCUGCCCAUACCAUGACCUCGACCGUGUCCUCGGCCUCUAGUGACCCCAACUAGUGGUACUGGUGGUCGUCUAUCGUGACCGGUAGCAUGUCUCCUCACCAUUUGUGAGAGAAUAUAACAACAGAAGUUUAGUACUGGAAUCAACAGAUUCGCACAACAGGAAUUCAAGAAUAUGAAAUUCUUCCUAAAAGGUCCUAUAGCCCCCCCCCCCAGGGUAAGUAUAGACGUCUUCAUAUCGAUCCGAAAGACUCUGUUAAACCCACUCAUGACUUAUGAGACCUUUGUAACCUAGGCUCUACUUGUCACGACCAUAAAACAGACCCGAUCGUGAUGGCGCCUAUCGUGAAACUAGGCCAACCGACACAAACCCAAACUAACCAAAAAACCAUAAGAAGUUAUUUAAGUUAUUAAUUAACUAAAAUCCCAUAAUAUAAGUUUAAAUGAGCAGUGCAAAAAUAUAACACAAGUCUGACAUCGGGAUGUUACCAGUCAUGAGCAACUACAAACUCGUCAAGCCCUCGACCUCUCAUAUAUCACAAAUCAGUACAACCCACUACAACGUGUAGCCUGAUCCCAUGAUAUCCUCAUAACACGGGCCAUCAGCCUCACUCAAGCCCCUCGGGCUUACAGUAAAACAGGUACUCGGCUCAAAAUAUCAUUUAUGAAAAUCAAAAGGAGUAGAUAAAAUCGAGUUAUGAAAUCAAUAAAAGCAUAGUAGGACUGAGUGUAAAUCUUAAACCAAAAAAGUGAGGAAACAGUAGUAAAAAUCUCCUAAGGGUCCAAACAGUCGGCACAAGGCCUAAAUACAACAUUCAACCCCAAACAUAGUAAUACUUUCCAAAAUAUAACAAUAUAAAAUAGUUUCCAAUUAAAUAUGCAACUUAAUAGCCAUACGGAAUGGACCAAGCCACAAUUUCCAAUGGUACACGGCCCCAUGCUCGUCAUCAAGCAUGUGUGUGACCUUAAUAUAGCACAACGAUGUGAAGCCUGGGGUUUCGUACUCUUCGGACAACAUUUACAAUUAUUACUUACCUCAAACCGGUCCAAACUCUAGCCCGCAAUGCCUUUUCCUCUCAAAUCGGCCUCAACUCGCCCCGAAUCUAUCCAAAAUCGGAAUCAAAACAUCAAAAUAGUCUAAAGGAACAAAGCUCACGCGAAAAUAAUCAAAUUACAUCGAAACUCCCGAAAUUGGCCAAACCUGACCCCCAGGCCCAUAUCUCAGAUUCCGAUAAAAAUCACAUCGCUAGAAUCCGUAUUCUCUCACGAGUCUAAACAUACCAAGAACACCAAAAUUAGAUCCCAAAUGGCCCCUCAAAUCCCCAAUGAAAACUCUCUAACACCAAGCCCUAAUUCUCCAAUUUUAACCCUUAACUUCCAAUAAUUUCAAGCCUAAUUAGUAAGAAAAUGCCAUAAACUAGAGUUUUGAAUUCACAAAUCCUACCUCCAAGCAUUAUCUCUUGAAUCCCUCUUGAAAUCCCCUAAAAAAGCUUCAAAGUCGCUCAAAAAUGGUGAGAAAAGAGCUAAAAAUCGUGGAGGAAAACUUAUAUAGUUUUUGCCCAGGGAUCUCGCACCUGCGGCUCUAAUUCCGCAUUUGUGGAUAGCUUUUAUAGUCAAAAUAGAUGCAUCUGCGAUUUUUCACUUAAAAGCCAACAUCCACACAUGUGCCCCAGGCUUCGCACCUGUGGGCUCGCAUGUGCGUUAAAUCUUCCGCUCCUCUAGCUGCCUCCACGCACUUGCGGUCCCUAAUCCGUAUGAGCAGAAACAAUAGAAGCAACAAAAUUUCAGCAGCACAACUCCAAGUCCAAACUUUCUGACAACCAUCCAAAACCAUCCCAAGGCCCUCGGGACCUCAAGCAAACAUGCCAACAAGUAGCAUAACACCAUUUAAACUCACACCAACCCUUGGAACACUCAAAACAAUGCAGAAACACCAAAUCACCCUCGGAUUCAAGCCUAAGGAUUCCAAAACUUUCGAAUUCCGCAAUCGAUCAAAAAGUUUAUCAAACCUCCUCCAAAUAAUUUGAAAUUUUGCACCCACGUCUCAUAUGACACAACAGACCCACUCCAAUUUCCAGAAUUCUAUUUCGACCCCGAUAUCAAAAUUUCCACGACCAUCGGAAAAUGCCAACAUUUCUAUUUCGCCAAUUCAAUCCCAAAUCUACCGCGGACCUCCAAAAUAUAUUCUGAUCACGCUCAUAAGUAUCAAAUCACCUAACGAAGCUAUAUGAACCAUCAUAAUUCAUAUGGGAGAUGUUUUUCACAUAAGUUAACAUUCAAUUGACUUUUUCAACUUAAGUUUACUCAAAAGAGACUAAGUGUCUUAUUCCUCUCCAAAACCACUCUGAACCCAUAUCAACCGACUCCAUACCAUAUAAUACAACUGAAUAACACAUAAAGAAGCAGAUAUGGGAGAAACGAAGCGGCAACUCAUGGAACGACCGGUCGAAUCGUUAUAUUGGAUCUUCAUGCCCGUCAUAUCUUUCGAACUUUGGUGUUUUGAAACCAACAGGUAAAUGCACGUGAGGGAACAUGCAGAAAUCAGCAUAGGAAAUGCUAUUGUGUCCAUUCAAGCCCUGCAUAUUAUUUAGGCUUUGCUCAAUGCUUUUCAUUUUUCGUGUUAUCUCUUCUUGUUCAGGAUUUUUCACGGCUUUCUCAUGUUCUAUAGAAGACUUACAUUGUGGGUGUUGAGGAUAGAAAUUUAGGGUAACCCGAGUGGAGUCUAAUUGAAACUGGGGUUUUUGAAAUAAGCUUUGUCGAGGUAGUGUUGAUUGCGCUAUAGUAGAGGCCGGCGGUGUUAUGAACAUUAUAGAUGUUAUUCCUAAAAAUGGUGCCCGGGGGUGAACCUCAGAAGGUGUACCGGUGAAAUUUGCUGACAUGGUAGGGUAGCCAAAUAGGAUGAAUGGGUUGGUUAGUGGGAUAGACAUUGUUAGUUCUUCCCCUCCUGGGAUCAAUAUAGGGAAUCCAGGGAUAGCACUAGAUGGCUCCUUGUCAUUGGACUACGUGUCCCGCAUUUCUAACACAUGGUGUUGUAGCCUUCUAUUUUACUCAGCAGUCGCGGACUCUAGUUGCGGGAUAACCGAUGUCGGGCUAUCUUCAGGCUCAAUGACGGGUAGGUGAUUUUUUAAUGUCAUGGUGAUACUUCCUUUAGAUCUCGUGAAAUAAGGGUAUGAAGCCGGAUUACCACAAAAACCAACCACUUAAAAUAGAACUUGUUCUUAAUAGCAUACAAAACAAACCGGUUAGUUCGAGACAUUUAACACAUAUGGAAUUGCAUUUGGGGAAUGCAAUACACCUAUACAGUUAAACGUUUUUCUAAAUGCUUGCGCAACGGCUGCGUGUUUCAUCCCAGCGUUGACUAACCUUUUUCACCAUGUACUUCUUUUCUUUCAUUUCUACCUCUCUUUAAUUACUCUUAAUUUUUAAUCUUGUUUUUGUUGCUCUUUUAUUUAUGGCACUCUUUUUUUAUUCUAUUUUUGUCACUAUUUUAUUUUUUGUCGCUCUUUUUUUUUCUUUUUUUGUCACUCUUUUCUUUCUUUUUCACUCAAUAUUUGUUCUUUUUUUAGUUUAUGUUUCACUCAAUUAGUUUUAUGGCUAUUAUCGAAGUCGAUGAAGACUGCCUACGUAUAAUGACGCCGCAUGAAUCAGAUCUUAGUUCAGGAAAAUUAGGAACAAGGUAAAUGAGCUAACCCUUUUUUUUAAUUUAUUCAACAUUUUUAAAUAGGCAAAUCAUACCUCAAAAGCUUCUAACAAGCAAAAUAGUUUUGGGUUUUGGAUUUUGAAUACUAUUCGUCAAAGAAAGACUUUAAAAAAAAUUCUUUUGAUUUGAACUUUGGAAAUUUUAAAAGUAAAAAAGAAAAUAUUUUUUUAUUUUCAUUUGUUUUCUCUUUUUCUAAAGAAGAAAAAAUAUUUUUAGAUUUUGGAUGUUGCCUCUUAAUUUUCGAAAGAGGGACUUUUAAGAAAACAUUUUAGAUUCCUGAGUUUCUUUAUUUUUUGUUUUUAAAUUUACAAUAUUAUUUCUAAAGAAGACGAAAAUAAUUUUGGACUUCAAUUUUUCAAAAAUUUUAUGACAUUUACGAAAGAAAGACUUUUAAAGAAGGAAAAGAAUAUAUUUUUUGAUUUUUUUUAAUUUUGGAAAAAAUACUUCAAAAUAAGGGAAACCCGCAUUUUGGGUUUUGAUUUUUGAUUGAUUUUUAUUUUUACUUCUUUUUUUUCAUAUGAAAGACUUCAAAUAGAAGGAAACUAUUUUGUUUUAGUUUAAUUUAUUUUUAAUUUUUUAAGGAAAUGCUUCUCAAGAAGGAACUAAAGAAAAAUAUUUUUGAUUAUCCAGAAGAUGAAAGUAGCAGAAAUAAGGAUGUUGAGAUGGAUGUCUGGGCACACUAGGCUGGAUAAGAUUAGGAAUGAAGAUAUUCGAGAGAGGUUGGGCGUGGCUCUCGUGGACGACAAGAUGUGGGAAGCGCAACUUAGAUGGUUUGGACACGUGCGGAGAAGAAGCAUAGAUGCACCAAUUAGGAGGUGUGAGCGGUUGAUUUUGGCGGGUAUAAGAAGAGGCAGAGGGCGACCAAAGAAGUAUUGGGACGAGGUGAUCAGGUAGGACAUGGCGCAGCUUCAUAUUUUCGAGGAUACGGUUCUUGAUAGGAAUAUGUGGAGGUCGAGCAUUAUGGUGGUGGGCUAGAGGGUAGUCGAGAGUUCUUCUCUCUUUGUACCGGGUAGACUAAAAGAGUUCUGUUUAGAUUUGUUAAUGGUCUAUGUUGUGUUCACAUAGUUGGUUGCACAGUUUUGUGUUAUUGUCCUUUUCCUUAUUCACUGUUGUUAUUUUCUUUCUGACAUCUUUUGUUGUCACAUGCUUUUUUUGUUUCUUUUAUUAUAUUUUUGUCUCUCUUGUUGAGCGGAGAGUUUCCUGGAAAUAGCCUCUCUAUCCUUUUCGGGGUAGGGGUAAGGUCUGCGUAUGCUCCACUCUCACCAGACCCCACUGGUAGAAUUUUACUGGUAUGUUGUUGUUGAUGAUGAUUUUUUAAAAAUUAAGGCCGGAACUGAUGAGGUUUGCCUAUGUAUCUCACAUCCGAUAAGAAUCAGAACCUCGUAGUUCAAUCAUUUUUUACAUUAUUGGAAAAAAUAUGAUAUUGACUCACUUUCAUUUUGACAUGCAUUUUCUCUUUCUAUCUCUUAUUUUUUAAAAACUUUGGUAGAGUUUCAAGAUAUUUUCAAAUACCAGAAUUUUCAGAACCUGGUGAAUUCUCAAUCCUACCCCACUCUUAGUUAAUCUAUUGUUUUUCUUUCCUUUGCCAGUCAACAUACAAGUCGAAGCAAAUAAAUGUACAGAUAGCAUGUAAGAUGUAUCAAGAUGGUCUUUUAUUUCAGGUACACCUGUCCUAGACGGACUCAAUCCCUGUAUUGAGUCACUAAAGUCAAAUGCAUGUGAUAAACAAAAGUUCUACUAAGUAUCUGGCAUGAGGUUAUUUUAUUCUAGGUUUAAACCCGAGAUUUGUGUUCUAGACUUGCCUUACCCAAGCAGACAAUUCAAGCCGAGGUGGAGCGAUGUACCGAGAGCACGAAAGUCUACCCGACCAAGUGGCUGAUCCAUCAUUGUUCUAUUUGAUAUGACCUUUAACAGAAAACCCGCCACGCGAACGUAUGUACCAUUUUUUAGAAGACUCAGAAGGGAGGCGUAAGAAGACAGUUUAAUAUAAUUCAAAUAAUAUUAAAGCGGUAAAUAAGCGGCAAUUAGCACAUUAGACCUACAAAGUACAGUAAUAUCAACAAUAAAUAAAGCCAAGUAAAAAUCACAUUAACAAGCUCGAAUUCUUAAAUCCUGAACUAGAGAUUCUGGGUUCUGAUCCCUAGUAGAGUCGCCAGAGCUGUCACACAUCUUUUUUACCCGAGAGGGAUAUAAAGGAGUUUUUCCAAUUAAAGUGACAUUAAUUAAUUAUUUAAUUUCAGAGUUGACACUGGGGAUAAUUUAUGGUGUCCCAAGUCAACGGUGUAUUUUUAAAUCCCAAAUCGAGGAAAAUUUGACUUCGUUUAAAGUCUGCAAAACCAGAAAGACUAGAUAAGGAAUUCUAUUAACCCGGAAGAAGGUGUUAGGCACUCCUGAGUUCCGUAGUUUUAGCAUGGUCACUUAGUAAUUUUUACUUGGCCUAUUUUGUUUAAUUGCUCAUUUUAGGAUCUAUGCUUAUUUUACUUUUUAACAUUAUUAAUCACUUGAUAAUCCAUAUUUAAGAAAUUAAGAUGAGUUACGCGUACGUAUACUUAAUUCCUAAUACUUAAUUUAUUUAAGAAAAAGAUUUAGUCAAAGUUGCGCGAACACAUAUUUUAAAUUUUAUUUGAAAGAAAAAACGUAAUCAUGAUAUCAAUUUUAAAAUCGCGCCUAAAGUAUUUCUGCAAAUAUUUGAUUAAGGCGUUUGAGAAAAACGUUUAAUUAUGGUUAUGUGAACGUAUACAUUGGCCUCAUAACUAUGUCGCGCAUGCGUAUAUAUAAUUGUAAUAGUUAAUCUAAUUUUAAAGUGAAUCUAAAGUUAUGAUUAUGUCUAAGUAUUCUACAUAAAUAUAUCUAGGUGUAAAGGUUCAAUACUGUAUGAGAUAAUUAGAUGGGUGCAACUCAUGAAUAAAUACCAAAGUUAUUGGGCCUGACAAUUAAACUCAUUUAGCUUAUAAUUUGUUAGAAGAAUCUGAUCCAAAACUUUAUUAAAAUUCUAAUUGGCGGAAUGGCCCAUUUGAAUUACCUUAAUGCAUCCCUGUUCCAAUCCCGUUCAAAGCCACCAACAUCAAAUUUGAUAUUUCUUUAGCAUGAUAAACUCAGGCUAUUAUGACAUAAGUAUACAAAUUGAAGAUUAAGUUAAGUUAAAUAUAAGACAAACUCAAAACUUCAUUCACUUAAGCUUUUAAAUUCACAAAAAACAUAAUAUCAAGCUUGAGGAUAAAUGCGAAGGUGAUAUCUCUUCCUCUCAAGAUUUGGCAAACAAAUAAACACACAUUUCAGGAGAUGUAAACAAGCGAGACAAUUGGAAAAACAUUUAACAAAACCAAUCAAAGUAGAUUACCAACUAAAACAAUAAAAUAAAAAAGAAAAAGAACCUUUGUAUAGAAGGAAACUUCUUCAAUACAAGAGCAUAGCAACUCCUGAAUUAUCGCACUUAAAAGACCACAAAUCGAAACCUGCACCGAAGACCUUGAACCGACACCGAAAGGAACGCGGUCCCCGAGCUCGAAAAUACCUUCCUGAUUCGUUCUUCUUCUUUCAACAUGAAGUCAUUGCUGGAUUUGGGAGUUUUUUGGUUGAGGAAGAAGCUAUGUUUAGCCGGUUUCUAUGGGAUUUCAAGGCUCUUUCAUGGAGUUUUCCGGCAGGCUUCUAUGGUGAAUGAAGAUGAGAGCUUCCACUAGUUUUUAAUGGUAGAAGCUGUUUGUUGGUGGUUUGGGGAGCUACUGGGGUGGCAUUUCCAUGGUAGUUUAAGGUGUAGGAAAAGGUGAAGAAGAAGAAGAACCAGAUUUUUUAUUUCUUGCUCACUCCUUUCUCUCUUUCAUUCACACUCCCCCCUUUUCAUUAUUGUUGGGUGGUGUUGAAAUGUGGAAUUGGGGGGUAGGAGUUUUAGGAAAUUCGAAGGUCUUAGGUCUAGUGCUACUGUCCGCAUUUUUUUUGGGUAGGUUUGCUUGAUCUCCCUAGGUUUUUUUUUUUUUUUUUUGGAAAGUGUCAAGGAAUUAGGGUGUAUUUUAGAGAUGAGGAAAUAUUGAGUCUUGGGUAGUGGGUUAGGCGAGUUGGGUUAAGUUUUGGGCAAUUUUAAAAAAAUUUAGCCAGUCUGAACAAGACCAAAUAAAACCUAUCUUUUCUUUAUUUUUCUUUUUUUUUUUAGUUUUUAAAAAUAUAAUUUCAUUAAUUAAAAUCAUAAACAAGCCAAAUAAAAAUCCUAAAUUAAACUCUAACUUAAAUCUAAUUAGCAAAAUUAAUUCUAUUUAUCUAUUAAUAAAUGCAUGUAAAUUUAAAAAAAAAUUGUUCGAUUUUUAUGUAUUAAUUCUAACAAUUAAAGAGUGAUUAAUUUUUAAAAUGCAGAUUAAACCUGCAAGGUAUUAAAUACAUAGUUAGUGUAAAAUACUAGCGAUUAAAGCGCAAAUUCAAUUGAAGUACAAUAAAUUAGAGUGUAAUAAACGACUAAAAUACGUAAAUAUAACGACCAUCAAUGCUCAGUUGGAAGACAAAAAAUUGGAUUAAAAGAAAAGAAAGAAAAAGCAAAAAUAAUAAUUAUUAUUAUUUAGUUACUUUUACAUUUUUAGAAUAAGUUUAAAAAUAAGAGUAAAUGUGAAUGCUUUAAGAAAAAAAGGCCUUUCCCUCGAAUAUUGGUAAAAAAGAAGUGCCACGUCACAGACUAUAAUAUAAUUUCAUAAUGUAUUUGAACUCCUCCUUAUGUAAAUAAUAUUUCUCACUUCAUUAAUUUCUGUAUAAUGCAUGAAAACUAUAAUCCACAAUUGAAACUAUUUAAGAAUAUAAAAAUAAAAGGAGGGAGACAUGAUAGUAGCCGACAAAAAUUAAUAAUAUUAACACUUAUAUAAAUACAAAAAAAAAAUGUCGCGCAAAUUUUCACAAUUUGAGAAUAGAGUUGUUAUGAAAUAAAAAUAUAAUAACGCAUGUUCACUUGAUUCUCUUUGUUUUUUCUUGCUUCCUACUUCAUACGUUUUUAUCAUUCAAGAGUUUCCCUUGAAGAAGUCAAAAAGAUCAAAUUAACAAUAGUCACUUGCAAUUCCAAAAAUUAAAAAUCCAAAUGAAUAUUGAAUGUUUCAAUUGUGUUUGAAAUUUUUAAAGAACCAUCAUAAUUAUUACGAUAUUCUUUAAUGAUGAUACUUUAUUAGAAAAUACUAAAAGUAAUUUAAUCAAAGAUUAAUACAUGUUUGUUCUUUUAGAGAAGGAACACACACAUAAAUAUGUAAAUUUUUUUCUUUAAAACUUUAAUUUUCUGAAUAUUUCAUAAUGUAAGAGAGUAUUUUUUUUUUGUUUUUGUGAAAAUUAACCUAUAUAAAUUUAAUAUUUUCUUGAGGAAAUUAAUAAAAAGGUAUUAACUAAAUAUUAAUGAAUAAUAUUAGCAAAUUAAAUUGUAGUAUUUAUUAUGAAAAUUUUUAAUAUUAAAGAUUGAUAAUAAUAUCUAUUAUUAUGGCAAUAGUGAAGUAAAGUAAGGUCUUUUUGCAUUCAGUAAAAGAUAUUUAACAGCCAACUGUCGGAAUAAUUUUUUUUCUCAGACAAAGUGUGGAAAAAGUUCAAAUCAAAAUUUAACUUAAGUUUAAUUGUUUUAUACUCUUUUUCUUAAUAAAUACUGAAUUGAAUUGUUUACAAAAUUAUUGAGCAAGUCAAUCGUCCGAGUGAAUGAGUUAGAAAGUCGGACAAAAACUCAGUGAGUUAUGCGAUGGGGUAAAGAAAAUAAUAUCCAGAAAGCCCACACCAUUAAACUCUUUGGCUACUGAAGAAUCUGGACCUGGUUUUUGCCUUUUGGUUUUAGGGCUAUCGGUCUUUUUUGCAUUCAUUUCUCUCCCUUAUCUAUAUUUCAUUCUUUCAUUUCUCUCUUCUAUGGCGGUUCCUUUUCCUUAACAAGGUAAGUUUUUUCACAUACAUAGUAUACAUACCUAUAUAUGUUUAUAAUUUAUUACAUAUCCUAUUUAUAAUAUGUUAUCUUACUCGUAGAUUUGUAUAUAGACGCAAGGGUUUGAACCUUAAUGCUGUAUCAUUUGUGAAAAUGCUUGAGAUUCUGCUGAUGUUUUGUUUGAUUUAAUUGUUGUUAGGUUUUUUCGAUCUGAAGGAAAGAGCCCUAAAUCUGAUUGAUUUUUUGAAUAGGUUCGAUUGUCAAGACCAGCGAUUUUAAAUUUGAAGGAAAUUUACGUUUAUGGUGUAAAUUGGAUCGGGUAUUGAGGUAGGGGUUUCCGUGGAAUGGAGGAUGGUGGUGUGGUUAGAUCAGAAAAGCGAGGGAGGAAAAGGCGAAGAAAGGAUGUGCAAAAUGUGGAGGUUGAUCAAGAUGGGAAGAAAAGGGCUGCUGUUGGAUUGAGACCCAAAGCAUUGGUGGGUAGGUAUGUGAGGAAGGAUUUUGAGGGGAAUGGGUUAUUUUUGGGAAAGAUUAUGUCGUAUGAUUCGGGGUUGUAUAGGGUUGAAUACGACGAUGGAGAUUGUGAAGAUUUGGAUACCGCCGAAGUGAAAGAGGUUUUGGUUGAAGACGAUGAGUUGGUUGGUGAGUGGUUGGAUAGGAAGGAAAAGUUAAAUGAAUUGGUAGCUAGUAGGGAGGUCAAGAUUAUGGCUGAGCCGAUAAGUGCUGUAGCUGAUAAGAUUGAAGAAGUGCCAGCCGCGAGUGAUUUGGGAAAUGAUUGUCCUAUUGAGGUUGAGAAGAUGCAAGUAGAUGUUGAUGCUGAUUCACCGAGCUAUUCGUCUGAUGAUGAUGAGAAGCAAGAAUUAAGUUCGGAGGUGGAAAAGCCUCUUGUUCCUGCACCUGAACUGCCUCCCUCUUCUGGAAAUAUUGGUAUUCCGGAGGAGUAUGUAUCACACCUUUUGUCCGUUUAUAGCUUUUUACGGAUGUUUAGUACCACAUUGUUUCUGAGUCCCUUUGGACUUGAUGAUUUUGUGGGUGCAAUCAACUGUUCUGUUCCAAACUCAUUGUUGGACUCUAUUCAUGUCGCUCUUAUGCGUGUUUUGAAGCGUCAUCUUGAAAAUCUGUCAUCUGAUGGUUCCGAGCUUGCAUCAAAAUGCCUAAGGUGAGUACAUUUGCCUUUGCGGAGGAUAUUUUUCAAAAAACUGUUGGACUGAGUUCUAGUCAGUUGGUUUACUUUAGUGCUGUCUUGGUUCUGAAUCCUUUGGGAGGUAUUCCUGUUAUGCAGUCCUUCCAAAAAAUACACCACUGAACUUGAAAAUUUCUUGAUUAUGGUAUGGUAAAUAAACUAAAACCUAGAUAAUUUGUCAGAAGAAGAAUACAAAUGACUGGAAAAUUAGCAAUUAUAAAAUCUGGUGAGGUGCAUUUUGGAAACUUAACUAUUCCUGCUUGUUCAUAGGAACAUUGAUUGGAGCUUGCUUGAUACAAUGACCUGGCCUGCUUAUCUAGUUCAUUAUCUGACCGGAAUGGGAUUCACAGAUGAAAAUGGUUGGGAAGGUUUUUAUCCCCAUACUUUGGAGAAGGAAUACUACUCACUAUCUGCUGGCAGGAAACUCAUAGUUCUGCAGAUCUUGUGUGACAAUGCCCUAGAUUCUGAAGAGCUAAGAGCAGAAAUUGACAUGCGUGAAGAAUCGGAGGUAGGUAUUGAUUCAGAUGCGGGUACAGUUUUAGCCCCUGUGAUUGGACCACGUAGAGUGCAUCCACGGUACUCUAAAACUUCUGCCUGCAAGGACCGAGAAGCCAUCAAGCUUAGCAAAGAAACUAAUACUAAUUCUUUGGUUUCCGAAGUUAGUGGGCAAGAUGCUUUCCGCGAUGUUGAUCAAGAUGGUAAUGGUGAUGAAUGUCGUCUUUGCGGUAUGGACGGGACUUUACUUUGCUGUGACGGCUGUCCCUCAUCUUACCAUGCUAGGUGCAUUGGUGUUUGCAAGAUGUAUAUAUCAGUUCCAAAGUUAAUGGACAAGAUGCUUUCUGUGACGUUGAUCAAGAUGGUAAUGGUGAUGAAUGUCGUCUCUGCGGUAUGGAUGGGACUUUACUUUGCUGUGACGGCUGUCCCUCAUCUUACCAUGCUAGGUGCAUUGGUGUUUGCAAGAUGUAUAUACCAGAAGGAGCAUGGUAUUGCCCUGAGUGCACAGUCAGUGAGCUUGAGCCUAAAAUUAUGAGGGGAACAACUCUUAGAGGAUCAGAGUUUUUUGGUGUUGAUCCCUAUGGACAAAUCUUUAUGGGUACUUGCAAUCAUCUACUUGUGUAUGUCUCUUAACUUUUAUAUUGAUUGACUCCGUUAAGUUGCAGUAUUUGAUUGUGGGAUAUUCUAUGUGGUGAUUUGUAAUGCCCUUAAUCUUAUGUAGUUCAUGCUGAAAUCUUCCUCUGGUUAUCUUUUCUAAAUGCAUUUUUAAUCUUCUAUUAUAGGUUGAUGGCUUUAGCUGGUAUACAGUCUAAUGUCAGAUACUACUAUAACAAAGACAUUCCCAAGGUCCUGCAAGUACUUAAUGCCAACGUGCAACAUUAUGCCUUAUAUUUGGAAAUAUGCAAAGGAAUUAUGCAGUACUGGGAAAUUCCAGUCAAUGUCAUAUUCCCUAAUGGUGAACUAUUUGAAAUUAGUGGGCAAGGAGAUGGCACAACAGGUGGUCGCGUUAUGCCAUCACUUAAUUCUUUGGUCAAGGAAAGUCUUGGGGAAGAGAAUACUGUAACUUGUGUCACUGAAUUUGGUCCAGGAAGUGGUCUUCUGGGCAACUUCUCAACAGAACCUAUGCGGAAUGAGAAACUAGAUGUAGUUUCCCAACCUGAUGGUCUUUGUCUGGCAAAUAUUGAGUCAAUAGCGAGACAGAAUAACACUCCUUUAGACUCGGUGCCAUCUGAACAAAUUAAAGUGAAGCCCAUUGUAUGCACUGGUUCAGUUGACCAGCAUCUUAUUCCUUCUGAGUGGACUGAACGAGAUGGCCCAAAUUUGGCAAAGACUGCUAUAUGUACUUCAAGGAGCUCCAAUAACUACUUGGAACAAAUUACUGGUAGUUAUGCUGGUGUCACGGUGUCUCAUGAAAGAGGUUGUUUAUACAUGGGUUCAUCUUUUAAACCUCAAGGAUAUAUAAAUAGUUAUCUGCAUGGAGAUUUUGCUGCAUCUGCCGCUGCUAGUCUAGCUGUCCUUUCUUCUGAAGAAAACCAGGGUUCUGAGACUCGUGUUUCAGACAAUAGGCGGAAACAUAUGUCUGCAAAUUUCCUACUCCAAGCUAAAGCUUUCUCAUCUGUAGCAAUGCAUUUUUUCUGGCCAAAUACUGAAAAGAGACUCGUGGAAGUACCAAGGGAAAGAUGUAGUUGGUGUCUUAGUUGUAAGGCUCCUGUGGUUAGUAAGAGAGGAUGCUUGUUGAAUGCUGCAGCAUCAAAUGCCAUUAAGGGGGCUGCGAAGAUGCUUAGUGGUCUACGUCCUGCUAAGGGUGGUGAUGGAAGUCUUCCCGGUAUUGCUACAUAUAUUGUUUUGAUGGAGGAGAGCUUAACUGGUUUGAUAUCUGGCGAUUUCCGGAGUGCAGCUUUCAGAAAGCAAUGGCGUAAACAGGCAGAACAAGCUACUAGUUGCAGUGUGAUAAAAUCUCUUUUGCUUGAAGUAAGUUUUUGCAGAAAUUUGUUUAUGUCAAUGUUGGUUAGCAUAAUGUCCACUUUCAUUUACAUCAUCUCUCUUAAAAUGUUUGUUACGACUUCUUGAUCGACUAGAUUACUUGGUAAUCUUGUAUUUUGUUUAUCAUUUUUUAUCAUUGAAUGGUACUUCGUGCUAGUAGUAUUACGGGCUACUUGGUAGCAUAAUCCAAUUAACUGAAGUGCACUUACAAUCGAAUCUGAAAAUGGAUGUCUUAAGUAAGUACGAACUUAUGUUGGAAAGUCAACACUUGUAAGAAAACCUCAUGUUGGAUAGCCAACACGUGGAUAUAUAUAUAUACACAUAUAUUUCAGAAUGUAUGGAUCUUGUUUCCUCGUGAGAGAAUACUUUUUUUUAUAGGGUAUGCGAGUAUUUUAUUUAUUUGAUAUGCCGGCAAAUGUCGGAGUAAGUACAUCCAAAGAGAGAACUUUACCGAGAAUGUAAAGAGCUAAGAAUAUCUAUCAUGGCAGCCAACUCUAAAACAUUGGUAGUGGCCAUGUUAGAGAAAGUUGAGUGAACAUAUUCAUUUGGGUUUAAGGUUCACGAUAUUGACCCUCUUGUUUGUCCAAGCCUUGGUGGACAGAGUUACACGGUAUCUGUGUUGGUAGAAGCUGCCCCUUGGAAUUAGUCGAGGUGUGUAUAAGCUGGUCCGGACACUACAAUUAUCAAAAUAACGAAAAAAUAUUGACCCUCUUGUCUUUAGAGACUCCACAAUAUCUUUCUCCCAAAUGAUUACCAUAUAAUAGCUGGGAUAGUGUUCCAGAUUUUGAGGGAAGAUUUUGCCAUGCCCCUCUUUCGCCAAGUUAGGAGGAAAAUCCAAGGGAGCUCUAAGUGAAGCUACCUGAUGCCCAAGGUUUUAAAGAAAAAAAGCCAAAUUGGACCUGUAAAAUUACAAUGAAAUUAAACAUGAUUGAUCUCCUCUGCGCCUCUUUACAAAGAGAGCAUCUAGUGCACAAUGGAAUGCGUCUUUUCUAGAGAUUGUUCAGAAUAAGACUCUUAGCUUUGCUGCAUGCCAGGUGAAGCAUUUGACCUUAUAAGGUGCCUUGUUCUUCUAAAUAGAUUUCCAAGGAAACUGAAGAGGCAGAGCCAGUCAAAGAGGAAUACUCAGCUCCUAACAGAGGAAUCGCCUUUGGUAUUAGGAUUCCAGAAAGAGUAAUCAUUUUUGGUAGACAUUGUUUCUGGGGUGGUGCCCCAUUCAGAAGAGACGUUAAGAGCAUGCAUUAGUUAAGUUCCCAGUUGUUGUGGCCUCUGCUGAGCUGUAUAAACUAGCCGAGGUGUUGUCAUAUGUCUGCUAUGGAAGAAUUAAGGCAACUUGAGGGAGAAUACUUAUAGAGGAUUCCACUAGAUGAGACAUGAAAUCACACAAAACUAGGUAUAGGAGGAUCUCCCUUAUUCUCAAGGAUUUCUUUGAUUUUGACUUAUAUACAUUUGAAAUUCAUGGUAAUGACAAAUCUUCAGCCGUAUGCUCCGUUUUGUCCUAAUUCAAUAAAUAUUUUAAAUAGAAAAUAAUAUGAUUAAAUUUGAUUAGAAGAUUUAUUAGAUGCUCGUCUUCAAAUUUAAGUUAUUAUUAAACAGCCCCUUAGACUUAAAGUUUUGACUCCUGAAUGAACGAUUUUCCAUAUUAUAUUUGGUUGUGGUGAGAAGAUCCAAAAGCUGUACUUGUCCAAUAAAAAAGGUGGGGGUUAUGUGAAGGCUAAGCAGGAGGCAUAAGUUAGUUGACUUACUUCUCUUUGGUUCCACAUUUGUCAUUUUGCUUAUGUUGCUUAUUAUAAAUGGAGCAUAUUCCAAUAUCAUUUUCUCCUUGCUACAUGUGAGAGGUUUGAAAAUGCCAACUUGGAGGGGUGCAAAUUCAUCCAUAUUUACUUCGUCUCUUUUUUACGUUGUAAGCACCAUGGGGAAUUACCCUUAUUUCCUAUCUUUUUUCAAUAACCGAGAAAAGAAACCCCCAGGGCCGUUGGCGCACGAUUUGAAACUCAGUGGAUAAUAGGCUCGCCCCUCUAUGCUUCUCUACUUAAAUACCAAACUUUCGUCUGUGGCAAGGUUCGAGCCAACAACGUGCCCCAAACCCACACUCACGUCCAACCUAGUCCUUGUUUAUUGUCUUUACAUUCUAAGUAUCUUACUUCUCCUCUUUUCACCCCAACCAGUCAUUAUCUAGUUAAAGCAAUAAUGUGAAGCAAUUGAAUUAAUUAUGAUAAAUAUUUUAAUGGUGUAGAAGCUUGUACCUUUUUUUUGAAAAGGUAACAGAUUUCAAUAUAUUGAUAAAAUUUGUCCCUAGCACAAAGAUUGUGCUAAGGAGUAACAGGUUACAAGACCCAAAAUAGACAAAAACCAAUCUUGUAACGGCUACAAGGAGCCUAUGAGAUCUACUAGAGAUUCUACAUCUUGUACAAGUGCUUCUUUACACCAGAAAUAAAAUAAAGAUAUAACCUAUGUGAUCUACUAGAGAUUCUAUAUCUUGCACAAGUGCUUCUUUACAUCAAAAAUAAAACAAAAAUGUACAAUUCAUCUUAAUCUUUUAUUCGUGGCUUGCCACAUCUUCAAAACAUCUAGAGUUUCGUUCCUUCCAAAUGGUCCACCAAAUACAUGCUGGGACAAUGUUCCACCACUUCUUUUGGCCUGUGAUUAUCCCGGAGACAUUCCAGCUUACCAUCAUCUCAUCAGUUCUCCUAGCGCUUGGGCCUUUCAUGCUCAUGAACAACUGCCACAAUCUGCUAGUCACCUGGCAAUGAAUGAACAAAUGACUGAUUGUCUCAUUCUCAUUGCUGCACAGAAAACAUCUUGAGCAUAGUUGUAUUCCUCUCUUUAUCAAAUUUUCAUGUGCUAGAAUAGCUUGUUUGACUACUAACCAACAAAAGAUUGUCACCUUUAGGGGAACUUUUGUCUUCCAAAUAUGUUUCCAAUGCCAGAGGCCGUAGCUCUGGUCACAUCUAUUUAAAAUCAUGUAUGUUGAAUUUACUGUAAAGAUGCCAUUGUUGCUUCCGACCCACACCAGCUUGUCUUCUUGUUCAGUAGUUCCCCUGAAGUUCUGUAGAACACUGAAGAAACCAGUCACUCUACUCACUUUCCAGUUUUUGAGAAAUCUUCUAAAAGAUAGGUUCCAACCUUGUACUUGUACCUUUGAUGCCAUGGUUAAUACACGGUCCUUUUAAGAAUAUGAGGAAAGUCUAGUUAAAUCAUGAUACAACUGGAAAACCAAUUGUUUGUAUUUAGCCUUUUAUCUUUUAGGACAAAUGUAAUUGUGGUUAAAUAAUGAGAGGGUUUUGCAUGGAAAAGAGAAUAUUGCCAUCAGGGAGCAGCAGUGAACGACUUUCAAGUAACGUGGUGCAGGAUACCGGAUAUCUGCACUUGUAAUUUCCGUCCUACCAUUGUGUUUGCUUAGUGAAUAUUCUUUUUGCUGCAAGUGGGCCAAGUUCUUUGGUCCUGUGCUUUAAUUAUGCUUGUAGUUCAUUAAUCGUGAGCCUGAAGUAUGGAAUCCAGCAUUUUUUUGAUGAAGUAAUCGACGAAUCGAAUGAUAUUUCUGUUUCAAUUUUUGCCUCUUCUUCUCCCUCUGAAUCAAACUUUUCCUUGCCAUAAUGGUUGAAUUCCUAUUAGUAUCCAUGAUACAAGUCGAACCCUAGAUGUAGAAAUAGAAGAAGGUGGACCCCCUCUCCGUCGAAAGAAAUGAGAUUAUCGCAGAUACACACAUUAAAAAUAUUAACCAAAUUUGCCCGANNNNNNNNNNNNNNNNNNNNNNNNNNNNNNNNNNNNNNNNNNNNNNNNNNNNNNNNNNNNNNNNNNNNNNNNNNNNNNNNNNNNNNNNNNNNNNNNNNNNNNNNNNNNNNNNNNNNNNNNNNNNNNNNNNNNNNNNNNNNNNNNNNNNNNNNNNNNNNNNNNNNNNNNNNNNNNNNNNNNNNNNNNNNNNNNNNNNNNNNNNNNNNNNNNNNNNNNNNNNNNNNNNNNNNNNNNNNNNNNNNNNNNNNNNNNNNNNNNNNNNNNNNNNNNNNNNNNNNNNNNNNNNNNNNNNNNNNNNNNNNNNNNNNNNNNNNNNNNNNNNNNNNNNNNNNNNNNNNNNNNNNNNNNNNNNNNNNNNNNNNNNNNNNNNNNNNNNNNNNNNNNNNNNNNNNNNNNNNNNNNNNNNNNNNNNNNNNNAUCGUCCAAUAAGAAGGGUUUCAAUUUUUUCAAAUGAACAAUUUGAAGACCUAUUGAUUCUAACAACUGAUUGCAGAGUUGAUCAUUCGGACCUUAACAAAGUAUGAAAUCCAGCAUUUUUUUGAUGAAGUAAUAAGAAAGUAUGAAAUCCUGCAUUACUAAUGGCAAAUUCCACUUUGCUUAAGUUGCAGCCUUGAUUUCUUAGUUGCAGAUUUAUUUUGAACUACAACAGGAUAUUCCAAUUUAUUAGAUGCUGUAGAACAUGGAAGGAUUAGGCAAUUCUGGCUUUGAUGUGGGAACUUUGCAUUUAACAGCAUUGAUGAUAUUUCCCUGCUGCAUAUGUGCUAUUAAAAUAAUUCGAAACAUAGAUUCUUUAUAUGCCCCAACAUUUAGCAUCUAAGACUACUUUCUACAUAUGAAAUUAUCUAUAGAUGAUAUGUCCUUUGUUAAUUUGUGCUGCUUUUUGAGUUAAGUGAUUUGGUUUUAUGUUUGUAGCUUGAGGAGAAUAUCCGCUUAGUUGCAUUUUCUGUGGAGUGGACCAAGCUUGUUGAUGGUGGGUCAUCUGAAUCUUCUCUCACCCAUUCAGCUGCUGUUGCUGCUGGAUCAACUCAUAAGCGUAAACCAGGGAGACGUGGUAGGAAACCAAUGGCUGUUGUUGAAGCCGCUGCCGAUCAGUCCCAGGAUAUACUGACUGACUUCACUUGGUCAUUCAGCUGCGGUUGCUGCUGGAUCAACUCAUAAGCGUAAACCAGGGAGACGUGGUAGGAAACCAAUGGCUGUUGUUGAAGCCGCUGCCGAUCAGUCCCAGGAUAUACUGACUGACUUCACUUGGUGGAGAGGUGGCUUGAUUUCAAAGUUUAUAUUCCAGAAAGGGACUCUACCCCGAAGGAUGGUGAAGAAAGCAGCACGUCAAGGUGUCUUUGAUACCCUCAUUUUUUUGUUAUGCAAAACGUCUUCAGUUUUUCAGUUGUCAACAAAGAAAAAGAAUUAUUUUAUUUUGUCUUACUAAAGAUUUGGUGGCGUAUACCCCAUUUUUGUUAUGCAAAACGUCUUCAGUUUUUCAGUUAUCAAAAAAAAAAAGAACUGUUUCAUUUGUUCUUGCUAUAAAUUUGGUGGCGCACAUAUAUUAAUGCCAUGAGAGUUCACUAACAGCUUAUUCUCUUGCAGGUGGUGUUAGAAAGAUACCUGAUAUUUAUUAUGCUGAAGGGUCUGAGACCGCCAAAAGAAAUAGGCAGCUUGUUUGGCGGGCUGCAGUUGAUAUGUGUAAGACGACAUCACAGCUUGCGCUUCAGGUGAUUGAGAUAUAUUGAUAAAGAUUUGAGCUCCUCUUUUGUGGCAACCUUUUGUUGCAAGUGUGGAUUGAGUGUUUCUUCUGAUGUUCAAUCCUAGUGAAUAAAGUUGUUUUCUUUUGUUACAGGUGAGGUACCUAGACAUGCAUGUGAGGUGGAGUGACCUUGUUCGUCCUGAACAGAGUGUCCAAGAUGGAAAAAGUCCAGAAACAGAAGCUUCUGCUUUCAGAAAUGCUUACAUAUGCGACAAAAGAUAUGUUGAAAAUGAGACUAGGUAUGGUGUUGCUUUUGGAAAUCAGAAGCAUCUCCCAUCUCGCGUGAUGAAGAGUAUAGUAGAAGUAGAGCAAACACAGGAUGGAAAGGAGAAAUAUUGGUUUUCUGAGUUGCGGAUUCCGUUGUAUCUAAUAAAAGAGUAUGAAGAGAAAGUGGGAAAAGAUCUGCCUUCAGCCAACAAACCCAGAAGUGCAUUUACAAAGAAAAAGCCCUUGAGGACUCCUUGUAAAGAUAUCUUUACUUAUCUGGUACUGAAGAUAGAUGGCAAUGAUAAGUGUUGUUGUGCUUCAUGUCAAGCGGAUGUGCCAUUUAGGUAUCCAUUUAAUGCAUUUAUCGAAAUUCCUUUUUCUGCUUUUUUCUUAUGAUCAUUUAUUUAUGCUAUCUCAUUUUCUCAGGAAUGCGGUGAAGUGCAAUACAUGCCAAGGUACUAUAAUAACUUCUAUUUCCCUUGUAUCAGUUACUAUCAUGUUGUUAUGUGGGUUCGCGAGUUGGUCUGUAGCUCAUUGAUGUGUUCUUGUUUUGUAGGUCUCUGUCACGAGCUGUGUACAGUUAGUUCAACAGUUGAUGGUAUAGACGAUGUUGAGUACACAAACACUUGCAAAAUGUGUUACCAAAAUAGAGCCCUUACUCGAGUUAAAUGUAGUGAUGAAUCUCCAACAAGUCCUUUACUCCUGCAAGGGCAAUACUUCCCAAAGCAAAUUUCAGCCAAGAAAGGAGUAAAUGUUGGUAAUUCUAGCCGUCUUUCAGCCUCUGGUGCCACAUUGAAGCAUUCUUCUGAUAGGAAGCAUGGUAAUUCUUCGAAUUCCACAACGAAAAAAAAGCACAAGUUGGGUGUCGUUUGGAGAAAGAAGAAUGAGGACACUGGCACUGAGUUUAGAUUAAGAAACAUUUUUCUUAAGGGCAAUCCAGACGGAGAUUUUCCCAGAGUUACUUGCUACCUUUGUCGCAAGCCAUACAAUCCUGAUUUGAUGUACAUCCGCUGUGAAACGUGUACAAGUAAGUUUGUUUCUGGGAGGAAUUAUUUUGACCUCGUAAUCUUGAAUAUAUUUUUCAUUACUUUUUAGUUUUGGAGAAAUAAUUAAUGCACCGUGAGUUUGCAGAUUGGUUUCAUGCUGAUGCUGUUGGGCUUGAGGAGCCAAAGGUUUCUGAAGUUGUGGGGUUCAAAUGUUCUAGAUGCCGUAGGACUAGAAUACCCAUCUGUCCUUAUUUGGAUCCAGAAAGCAAAAAGCAGUUAGAGGAAAAGAGAAUGCGCUCAAGGGCUUCAAAGAUGGAUAAUCCUGGAACGGAGUUUCACUCUGGGAUCAUUCCGGAGCGGCAUAUGGAGGAUGAGAUGUCUACUCAAGUGGUGCCCUCAAAAGAGGAAAACAUAUAUGUAGAAGAAAAGAGAAUGCGGUCAAGGGCUUCAAAGAUGGAUAAUCCUGGAACGGAGUUUCACUCUGGGAUCAUUCCGGAGCAGCAUAUGGAGGAUGAGAUGUCUACUCAAGUGGUGCCCUCAAAAGAGGAAAACAUAUAUGUAGAGGACGAUAAUUCUCUUGUUUCUACUCCAGAAGAAUUCUAUGAGCAAUUCCCAGAAGCUGAUUGUGAAUGGAAUGCCGCAACCAUGUCUGUGCCAGGGCCUAAAAAGUUUCCAGUAAGGAGGCAUGUGAAGAACGAGAAUGAUUUGGAUUCUUCUUUUGCAAGCAAUACUUCCCAUGCUGAUUUUUUUGGAGGAAACAUAAUGAUAUCUGCAGAAGAAAUACCAUCUAAUGCUGAACAGGGAACUAAACUGCCAGUAAGAAGACCUGGAGGAGUGGAGAAGAAUUCAGAUACUGAUUUCGCCAACUACUCCAUGGAAGUUGAAUUAUCAACACCUCAUGGGGUUGACUGGGAUACUUCCAGAAAUGGUUUUGAAGAAGGCAUGAUGUUUGGAUACGAUGAUCUUCCCUACGAGGAUAUGGAGUUUGAACCUCAGACCUAUUUCUCUUUCAACGAAUUGCUUGCAUCUGAUGAUUACGACCCAGUGGAUGGCUCUGCUAAUUUGACAGACAAUGUUGACACAUCAUUGCGGUUUCCAUCUGAUAUGUCUUACUUUGAGCACGAGCCUGAGUUUAGCAUAGAAUCUGCUGCUAUCACUGUUCCUUGUAAGAUGUGUUCCCAUUCUGAACCAUGCGCUGAUCUUUGUUGUCAAAUGUGUGGCAUAUGGAUCCACAGUCAUUGUUCACCUUGGAUUGAGGAGUCGUUUGGGGCAGCCGGUUGGAGAUGUGGCAACUGUAGGGAUUGGAGAUAGUCGACGCUUUUAUCAUUUUGUGAUCUUACUGAUUGGAGUCAGAGGUGCAUCGGCUAGAGGGAAUGUGAUAUAUUUUAACUUCACCGUUCUAAGAGUUGGUUAACUACACAAGAUGCAGUUUUGGAUGCUAGUCUACUUGUUGCUUUGUCACAAAUAGACAAGGAAAUCGAAGUCACUUGUGAUGCCUGUAGGUAAUUAUUCUGCUAAGCAGGCGCGAGAGCACGUUCCGCAUAUUUAAGAUUCAGUAGUAGGGGCUGCUGCAAUUUGCAGCCUGGCAAAUUUCCCUAAUCCAAUUUGGGGGUUUCAUCAUCUGCAGGUCUCUUAUUUCUUUUGAAUGAUUAUAGCUGGAUGAUAGGAAACAAUCGUGCUCAAUAUACGUGUAGAAAUUAUUAGUGGGAGGUUGUGGUAUUUGCUCCAACCUUGGCGGAUAGGCAACUCUUUUUAGUUGGUGCUUAUCUGAUUUUUUUGACUGUAUAAAGAGGCCAUUAGUUAGGAAUUUUUUUCCUCGUAUAGUUUUUUUUGCAUUUUCCCAGUUACAUUUAAUGUUAGAGGAAAGCCUAAUUUUUCGCAUAGCACUACCAUUAAGCUCGGAAGGAAGAAGUAGCCAAUCGAAUUUAAUCACUUAGCUGAAUGAACUAGUAAGACGCUAUAUGAAAAGAUAGAAUGACAAUAGAUUGAGAAACUAUUAUCUACGCAUGAAAUUAUUUAUGUGCUGCCGUCGCUUCAACAGAAUUUUAAAAUGACAACAUAUUUUCACUACCCCAGUAGAACAAUUAAGAAAAGAUCAAUCAAAGCCACAUACUUCUUUUUCCUCAUUAUAAUUCUUGUAGAAUACAUAGGGAGGAACAGACCAAAGCAGCAAUUACAGCGAGUAGUGCUAUUGACACUACAGAAACCAAUGGUGUAAAACCUGACGAAAUGAACAUGAAAUUUGAAGGGGAACUAAAAAAAAAUAGGACCUAUCAUCUAAACCUAUAAACCUCACCAAAGCACAGCAUAUUGUGCAAAGAAUCUCAAAAUUUCAACCCAACCCUUCCGAGAAUCCCAAUCAUGAGCUAUGUAAAUCAGUGCCACCCUCACUUCCGCCAGCCCAUGCAUCGCGUUGUUAGGUGCCAAUCUUGCCUUUGGCAGCGUUUCAGUUUGCAGUAUAAACAAAUUAUACAACUGUAGACUGUGGAUGCAAUUCCCAUCAUAUUUAAAGCCACUUAGAGCAAACCAGCAAGCAACGCUCCAGGAUCUGAUAUAGCUGGUGGUGGACUUGUUGGUUGUUGUUGUGGCUGUAGAGGAGUGGGUGGUGCAGGCGCCCCAAGAGCUGUAGGGAGACUAACCAAUUGUUCCUUAAUGAACUCCUUCAACCUACAUAUAGUUAGAAGAGAAUCCAUAGGUGAUUUAAACGUCUGUAAUGAGCGAUAAGAUUAACAUUAGAAAGCACAUUUAGCUCAUACUCGAAUGUCAGUGUAGGAUCUCCAGAGGCAACUGUCAUACGCAGUUGAGUUCUAUCCGCUGGAUCCGUUUCUAUUCUUACCUGAAUAUCAGAAUUAAAGAAGUUGGAUAAUUUUUCUAGAACAUUUCUCUAAUUUAAACUAAAUGAUAAACCAUAAAGGUAACAUCUUGUUUCUAUUCUUACCUGAAUUUCACAAUUAAAGAAGUUGGAUAACUUUUCUUGAACACUUCUCUAUUUUAAACUAAAUGAUAAACCAUAAAGAUAACAUCUUCUUGUCAAAGGUUUUCCAUAAAAAAAUGACAUUUUCCGGGAAAAAAAACCCACAGUUUCCACCUUCUCUCAUGAAGGAAUGACCACUUCUGUCAACUGUCAAGUAAGUUUUUUGGACAAUCUGCUCUACUCAAUCCAGGUAGAAGGCAAAUUCCUCAAAGAAGCAGAAACUAAUACGGUGAGCUGACUCGUAUACUGCUAUAAACUUGGUCAUAUUAUAUUGUUUCAGUAUAUUAAAAUAUAUCUCCAAGCAGCAGAAAAUGCUCGUGUUCAACUCACAGAGUCAAUAAAAGUUAUGGUAUUUUCUUAGAGCAUUAAGAACUUGUUUGGCCAAGCUUCAGGGAAGCAAAAACUACUUUUUUUGUUAAAAAAGUACUUUUUGAAAAAUUUGAGAUGUUUGACCAAAAAAAAAAGUACUUUCGAGCACCAGCAGAAGCAGUUUUUCUACUUUUGAAGAGAAGCUAAAAAUUUCUAGUUUCUUCCAAGAAACAAAAAAUUAAUUUAUUUAUAUUUAUAUUUUUCAAAUUAUCCCUCAUUUAUUUAACAUUUUUAUAUCCUUUUUCUCUUUUUACCAUACAUUUAUUAUUCUAUCAUAUUUUUAUUCUCUUCGUCCUAAAUAGAUCUCUUCUUUUAUAUAGUGAUCUAUAAGAGUAGAUUUUUAAUUUAUAGUGAGUGAUGUAUUUUGAUAUAUUUAAAUCACGUAGACAAUAAAUAACACUAGAUGCCCCAAAUUAUAAUUUAAAUUAUACAUAGAUAUUAAAUUUAUUUAUCUUUCAAAUAAUACUAAUUGCAAACUGAACCUUUAUGGCCCUUUUUCGUAAUUUGAUACUCAAAGAUACUUUUUGAAAUGAUUGGCCAAACACAAUUUGCUUGCAGAAAGCACUAAAUGAAUUGGCUAAACACAAAAAGCUACUUUGUAAAAGUACUUUUUAGAAAAGCACUUCUGAACAAAAGUACUUUUAAAAAUGACAGCUUAGCCAAACGGGCUCUAAGGCAGCAGUAUCACCAGAUCACUAGCUUACCAAACACAACAUGGCUCGCGUACUCUCAGAAUAGAAAGUUGUGCUAGCAAUCAAAUUAUUUGUAUUUGGAUCCUGCAUAAGAAAUCAAGAAUUGCAACAUAAUGUUAAUUUGAAGGUAAAAAAUCUUGAAGAGAACAAGCCAAAAUAGACGAAAGAUCAGAAACUCACAAGUCCUGGACACACCAGAGAGUUGCAACAUAAUGUUAAUGUGAAGGUAAAAAUUCCUGAAGGGAACAAGCCAAAAUAGACGAAAGAUCAGAAACUCACAAGUCCUGGACACACCAUCAACCGGAGACUGUUGAACAAGUCUGCCAUUUCAAGAAGUGGCAGUGAUCUUACACCUCUAACCUGGUCAAAAUAGAAAAUAAGUUCGAGGACAUAUGUCAGAUUUGAUAUGCGCACGUAAGUUUGAGAUGGAAAUUUAGGUCUUCGUUCGUGAAUUGUGAUGUACUUAGUAAUACACACACAAGAGCAAAUUUCCAUAUGCAAGUAUAUUGCUAAAGUAACAACAAAGAGAAUGGACAUACCACUUCUUGGAGCUUCAAUGGUGGCCCAGACAGUGAUCUCCAUUGUGGGAAAAAUUCUUCUGGUGAUACUGAGAUAGGCUGAAGAAACUUAUUCAAGAGAGCAGGAAGACGAAGUUUAACAUUAACCUGCAAAAUGCACAACAAAGUAAAAAUAAUAAAUACAAGAGCUGACUUAACAAUGACAGAUCAUUAAAUAUCCCGGCUCUAAACCCUCUACCCAGGAAAGAGGCUGUUUUCACUCUAUUCCCAAGGUGACGUGAACCCCAACCUCAUGAUUGAAGUGGUGGGUUCUUACCACUAGGAUAUCACUGACUCAAACCAUAUGAAAAACACAAUUCAUAAAGAAUUAAUACCAGAUGGUUUCCAAACUUAUAUGAGAAGUCAAGAACAGCAACAUCCCUACUUGGAUGAAGGUUAACAACUUCAAGCGGACAUUGAACCUGGAGAAAUUCAUUUAGUUGGAGAUUAGAAGAUGUGACUAUCAAAUAACAAAAACUCAACUCAUGAAACAAGUAAAUAACUAUCUGACCUGUGCACGUGGUGGAAUAGUCUCAGGUACUAACGAUAGUUCCACCCUCAAAUGAGAUGGAGGCAAUAUUUGAGCCUGUACUGAAGCCAGUGGAGAGGUAUUUUUAUUUCCUAAGAAGAGGACAAGUCGUCCAUGAUGUGCCCGCCAAUCUGCUUUUAUACCAAUCUGGAAUUAUGCCAACCAAAAACACUUAGUCCAUACAAGUCCAUCACUUGAAAGUUAAAACAAUAAACUCUGGAUCGAUCAUCUACCUGAAUAUAUGGAUCCUCAUAUAAUACACCGCACUAAGUCCAUAGAAGUUCAUCACUUGACAGACAAAACAAUAAACUCUGGAUCGAUCAUCUACCUGAAUAUAAGGAUCCUCAUAUAAUACACCACUAUCUUUAAGGCACAAGGCAUGAAACCUUUCUGCAAUGUUUCCAAUUGGCUACAACCAGGAAAGAUUAAAACAGUCUGUCAGAAUUUCCAAUUUCCGAACAGGUGACUGCACCCUAAUAAAAAUCUUAGUGCGGCAGAAAUCUCCUUUGGAAAAGGCGAUAAUUAUUAGUUGAUUUAGCAGAGAAUGAAAUGAAUGUGCUUCUACUGGCAAAUGGUAAUGAACAUGUUUUUGCGGUCAUCCAAGCAAGUGCCUUAACUAGCCACACUUUUAUGGCUUAUCCCAGCAGCUUUCAGCAAAAUUAAUAACAGAAAGCUUUUACAACUUUCAAAGAAUAGGAAAAUAUGAUGAACUGAGAGACCGGAAUCUGAUAAAGCAAUCACGGGAACCAGAAACUGAAAAGAAAUGGCAGCAUCUUCCUAUCACUAAAUUAGGAGUCAUAACAAGAAAGCUAGUGGGUAAGGCAUAUAUUAACAAACGUAAAAGAAAGAAGUACCUGGAUGGUGUUCAUCUGUUCUUCAACAGGUGCAGCAUACAUUAACAAACGUAAAAGAAAGAAGUACCUGGAUGGUGUUCAUCUGUUCUUCAACAGGUGCAAGUGCUAGUGCAUCCUCUGAAGUUGGAGCACCUUUAACACCAGCACCCAAAUUAUGGUCAGAUUGGUUAGCAUCAUGCUGAGGGCCCUCAAUAGCCAGAGGACUUAAAAGAUCACCCAGGAGAUCAGGCGAAGGGGUUGAAGGGGGUUGAGGAUCCACAACAGUCAAAGUUCCAUUUGACUGAGUCUCCCCUUGAUCUGCUAAAUCACGAUCCUGUCCAUAAAGUAAAUUGUUGGUUACCAUCUAAUACUAAAAACACAGACAAUUAUAUCCUCGAUUUUUGCAUAAAUGGGCAGAGAGACACAUUACCACAUUGCUCCUGCUUGGAACUUUUACUAAACCUAGCUGGCUGACUGGUGAAGUUCCAUUAGCAGGGCGUUGGUCUGUCAUUACUAGAGCAUUAGAAGUUUGCUGUUGUGCACGCAACUUGAUUGCACUUUGGUCAGCGGUAUCAGCCUCAGUAUCCUCAGCUUUUCUUAUCAGUGAAGACUACAUCGUAAAGAGAAUAUUGUCGCUUAAAACCAAUAAUAACAAUAACAAUAAUAAAAGGACAACGUCAUACUGCAAAAAUUGAAAGAUUACAUUGUAUGAUGCAAAAGGAGGACACCCGUCGAACUAAUACAUCAAUUAUGCAGAAUACUGCAGAAAAUAAAUAAUCAAAGACGAGAAUUCCUGCAUGCAUACCUGUCGCUCAGGGAACUUUGGCAUUUCGGCUAAGAUAUCCAUUAAAGCUGCACCUUUCUUACUCAACUCAAAGUAUUCCACAGCCCGUUGCUGUAUUUCAACUUCGAUGCAGCUUUCAUAUCUGGGAUAUUACGCAGCUCUAUAAAUUAUCACAAUAACUUAGGAAAUAUACGCAGAAGAAAAAAUGACCUUACAGGAUAAACAGAAAUUACAACACCAUAAAUUAAUAGUAUCUUACUUCCUGAAUGCAAUACCUUAGAAAAUAUACGCAGAAGAAAAUAAACGGAAAUUACAACACCACAAAUUAAUACUAUCUUACUUCCUGAAUAUUGCCCAAAUCUGAUUCUGCAGCUCUUGAUCUGGUGGUUGUGUGUGCAUCAAUAUCUUUGCAUAAGUUGACAGAAGAAUGGGAAUUGUUGAAGUCCUGAAUAACAUAGUUUGUGUAAAAUAUCAGAUAGGAUAAUAAAAAACAAUGUCAAAAUGAGAUCAAACACUGAAUGUACUUACGUAACAGUAGGAAGCUUCUCAUGAAUGAUGUUAAAGAUUUCUUUUGGACUACAUCCAGGCCUUCUAGUCAGAAGAUGGCUGUAUUCUCCAAGGAUAUAUGCACUGACCUACUCCAUCACAUAACAUCCAAAAUACAUUUUCAAUUAGCUUCCCAAUAUAUUUUCUUUUUCAAACUGACCAGAAAAGGACAGCAGAUGCAUCGGAAUUCAAAAUAUAAAUCACGAAGACGAUUAUUUUGCUCUUAGGUGCUUAUCUCUGGCUGUGAGGCAACUAACAUUAAACUUGAAGAGCAAAUGAAACAACAAUAAAGUUCUAACAAUAGGGUGAUGAAAAUCUAGCUUGAACAUAAAUUAGUGCUACCCAGGUUAGGUCAACACAAUGGAAGCCUAAACUAUAUAAAUGAGCUAUAUAUGGGUUUCGAAUGCCUUGGAUUAACAGCAGGCAUCCAUGUAAAAGGCAUCAAUCCAGGUCUCAAAUUGUUGACGAUACAUGCCUUAAAUUUUGAUCCUUGACUCGAGCCUGUUCUUGGUAUAAGGGCAUGAUUAAAUCAAGGUGCAAGCUAUUUCUAUCUCAGGAACAGCUGAACCCAACAUCUCUUCCAAAUUUGUCUCAGAAGGUAACUCCAUUCACUCUUCCACUUGGCAGUACAUAUCCAAGACUUGGUUUUCCUUUCUCAUGCACAAGGCUUCCAAUAAAUUCCCCACCUCCAAGGACAUUCCUCUAGUUUAAUUUAUAUGCAAAAAUAACAAAUAAAGGUAUGCUGCAUAGAGACUUGGAGCUCAAAGUUCAUGUACCUAUUAUAUGUCAAAAUGACUUAGAGGUUGGACUACCCAUUCAUAUUACCAGCUACAAAUGAGUCUAGCAUGAUAAUUAAGCAGAGAUAAUCCAUUAGGGUUCAUAACAUUUGCAUAAAUAAAUAAUAUAUAUAUAUAUAUAUAUAUAUAUAUAUAUCACAUACUAUAUUAUAAGUGAGAAGACCAAAAGUGAAAGUUGAAUUACUAUAUUACCCAGUUAAAACUAAGUGACAGUUUUACCCUUCUCUUGAACAAUAUUUUCAUAAUAAUUUUAUAUCAAAAAGUAAUUUCACGAUACAAUAAAUGAUAAAUUUGUUUUACCCUACCAAAGUACUUACGUAAUGUUAAUACGCGAAAAGCAACCAGCAAUAAAUUAAGAAUUUGAGGAGUUACAAUUAAUCAUAUAAUAUGAACCAAAUUCUCUUAAAUGCAAAUUGUAUCUCAUGGUCUUUCUUUGUACAAAAACGUACUCUACAUAUAUGUCUCUUCAAUUGCUAUUUGUAAUCUUUUAAGUUUAACUGAUAUAAAUUUCAAUAUCAUCUUGAUUAACUAAAUCGGAGAGCAAAUGACAUGAAAGGACAGUAAUCCCAUUACUUAUGUUGAUAUAAUAAUUAAAACAUUCAUGAAUUAACAUCUUUUACAUUCCCUAUGUUGCAUGCUCAAUUUAUCUCUCUCAUUUCACUUAUUGUCUUUUUUAUAAGACUAUUUAUUAUUUCAUUAGAAAAGCCAUGUUGUAAGAUCAUGUCUUCAGGAUUCGUGGCAAUAGCAGAGACGAAAAGAUUAAUAUUCGACCACGUCCAAUAGAAUUUUUAAUUCCUCUACUUUCAAGAACGAGUAAUAUCAAGGUUAUAUGAUGCCAUGCUUUUAGUGCAAACCUAAUCUGCUGGGAAAAUGAAAGUGAGUUUUCUAUUUUCUGACCAAAUAUGCUAUUCACAUAAUUCAAAAUUAGUUGUUUUUAUUAAUAUACAUUAAAUUAUUCUUGUCCCUUCGGAUAUAUUAUUGUUAACCUUUUUUUUAGUAUAAUAUUAUCUAUUUCCAACAAAUACAGUACAAAUAUAGGUAUUAUAUAAGGAAGGGGCGAUAAAUUCAUUUAACUCUUUUCAUUUCCGGCAAGAAUGAAAUUUUAAGUUUUGGUUGAGCUCCUUAAUUCUUUUCUGGACUACUUUAUGAGGAUAUAUUGAGUCCAAUUGUUGUUUUUGGGUGAUUUUUGUUUAGAUAGCAAAGAACGAUUGUUCUUCUCAUGCAUGUUCUUUUCAAUUUUCUUCAUUUUUGUUUCUUGCUUCUUACUUAUCGUGUAAAUCAUGUUAGGUUAAGAGUUUGCUCUAGCACAUGAAUUUAGUUGGUACAGUUUUGUUUUCAUCAAGUCUGUGGUUAUGUGAUUUUUGUUUCCGGAGAAAAACUGGUUAGCGUGAUGCUUUUGUAGACAACUGAACAAACAUUUCGGGGCUAGCUCUACUGCAAUGUGCAUCUAUACAAAUGAGGUGUGCAUCUUUGUAACUUGAAUUUUUAUUCUUUGGCUCGACUAUUUUAAUUCUUUUUUCUGGAUUUCUUAUUUGAUUGUGUAGUUAGUAUAGUAAAAAGAUCUUGUCAUAUACAUCUAUCUUAUGGUUAAUUUCAGUUUCCACGCUAUUUUUUAAAUUCAAAUCUCUUGUCAUUAUAGCCCUCUCAUGUAUGGUCUUUCUGGUUGAAGUUUGUGGAACAUACACGUGGCGAGUUUCAAUAAGUUGGGUACAAGGUAGAAUUUCUUGCAAUAUUGUACUUUUAGAAGUGUAUUUUUGGUUCGUCGAUGAAUAAUUUAUAUAAUUUAUAUGUUUUGCUUUAGUUUUCUUGGUUCCGAGAUAAAAACAUAAUCGUAUGACCAACUUUUUUCCUCAACUACAACUGUAACUAAGACGAUCAUUAAAAGGGCCGGAGAAUAAUAAAUGAGCAAUUUAAUAUUGUAGCUACGCAAUAACGAAAAAACCCAAUCAAAAUAAUGUAAUUGAAUGUACACGAAGAAUAUUGUACGUGAGGAAAUAUUAGGCAAGUUAAGACCAAGUGACAUAUUUUUACCUCAUAAACUAAAAUAAUGUGAUUAUAAAUAACAACUAAGUCAAUAUAAUGGUUCAUCUUUUUUCAUAUAGAGAAGGUUUUCAAUUAAAAUUUGAAUUACUUUGAAGUUGAGAUAUGGUCACUUAAGUAGCAUGUAUUCUCACUCAAAUGAGCUCAAACUAUUAAUAUAAAUAAUUUGUAAUAGUAUAUCAAAAAUAAUCUUUGAACAAGACGUAUGUAAUUUAGAUUUAUACUCCUAUUCCAAUUUAUGUGAACCUAUUUCCUUUUUGGUCCGUCUAAAAAGAAUGAACCCUUUCUAAAUUUGGAAACAAUUUAGCUUAAAAUUACAAUUCUAAGCUUUUAUAACCACACAAAUACUCCGGCCCCCUUUUGACUUGUUUAGGACCAAAAAUUCCAAAAGUAUUUAUUUUUUGGCCGAGGUAGGGGUAAGGCUCGUCUACAUAUUACCCUCCCCAGACCCCACUUUGUGGGACUAUACUGNNNNNNNNNNNNNNNNNNNNNNNNNNNNNNNNNNNNNNNNNNNNNNNNNNNNNNNNNNNNNNNNNNNNNNNNNNNNNNNNNNNNNNNNNNNNNNNNNNNNNNNNNUAUAUUAUUUCAAGGGUAGUUGUUGUUGUUGUUGUUGCGUGCCCAAUCAAACAGGUUCACAUAAAUUGGAACAGAGGAGGUAUAUUUUAUCUAACUUUUAUAAAAAUAAUUCGGGAUACACGUGCUAUGCACGUGUCCAGAAACUAGUAUAUGUGUGUGUGUAUUGAAAGAGAAUGUGCUUACCUUGACCAUUGUUUCAUGAAUAGCAGGCUUAUCAAGAUAUUCUCUGGCUUUCAAAGCUGCAUAAGGCUGAGGAAGGGGUUGAAAGGAGUGAGCUCCAUCUAAAGAUACGCCAAACUCAAGUAGCAUAUACAAAAGAGCAGCUAGAGUUACCUGUAGAUCUUCGUUAUUUGUAACAAACUGCACAACACGGAACCAAAUGUCAUCACUGACGAAAUCACCAGCCUUGUCAAUCAAUUGAAGGAUGACAUCAACAUACAUGCAUGUCAUCACUGACGAAAUCACCAGCCUUGUCAAUCAAUUGAAGGAUGACAUCAACAUACCUGCAUGGCAAACCACGAGGGACACUCUUAGCUGUUAUCACAUUGUAGAUCCGUAAAGCAAGAUUAGACAGUUUCAGCCACAUUCAUCUAAUUCUGAGUGCUUGAUAGCUACUAAAAGCGCCAGAUUUGGAGUUAAUAUGCAUAAAAGAGAGUAACACAAUCUUUGUAUGAUAUAUUUCUCAUGAUGGUCCCUUUUAUAACACCUGACUGAAUAAAUCCCCUGAACCAGAGUUGGAGUUAAUAUGCACAAAGAGAGCAAGACAAUAUUUGUAUGAUAUAUUUCUCAUGAUGGUCCCUUUUAUAACAAUUGACUGAACAAAUUCUCUGAAAAGGCUUCAACAACCAAACCGAAGAACUUUGAGAAGACAACAUAUUUGAAUUUCAACUUCAAAAGCAGGAGAAACAAUAUUUCAAUAUAUCCUUGAUUCGCAGUGUAGUCAGAAUAUGUAUGCGACAUGUUUUUUCCGGACAAGGAACAUGUAUGCAAUGUUUUUAAACUCCAAAUUCCAUAAGGCAAGCAUAUAUUGCUAAACAGCUCAAGGAAAGUGAAGUUUCAUUAUGUCCAUAUCUAUUUCAUACCAUGACAAAUCAGGAGCAAAUUUCUCUGCAAGAAUUGCAAUUUUGAGUGACAGUUCUUCACGCAUCACAAACUCAGCUGUAUUAAGAUACUGACAAACAAAACAGAUCAGUUGCGUAUUUUUUUACCUCGCCCAAUCAAAACUUUUCCUCUACAUAUUAUAUAAAUUAAAUAACCAUGAAAAGAAAAAUUCAGAAAGUAACAAUGCAGAAUCCUGAUACCUGCAAUAAUUCCUCCACUAUGUCCUUGGCAUUGGAAACAUCACACAUUCCAUAUAGUAAAUCAAGGGCGCGCCUCCUUAUACUGUUUGUAGUGCUUAAUGUCAGUAAAAGAAAGCAAUUUGACAGUUUCAAAGUUGAACUGAGAUAGGCUAAACUUUAAAAAAAUAGACACAAACACACAAGACUAUUACCAACAUAUUGUCCAUCAUUUCACCAGAAAAGAUUAGGAUCUAAAUAAAAAGCAGAGAUACCGAAUGUACUGCCUUGAUGUUAGUAAAUUAAUAAACAAAACUCUCUUUCAGAAGUAACAACGCACAUGCCACAAACAGAAAGUGUUUGAGCUGACAAAUUUGAGCUUUUAAAACUUAGUCGCUGCAGCAGCAUAGUUUACUUAUUGUACCUCUGUUGAAAAACAAAAUCAGGGAAUAGAUGAUGAGGAAAACGGAAAAGCUCCAAAUAACCUGAUAUCAGGAUCCUUCAGUGAGGUAAUAAUCUGGGCUUGAUGUCUUUUUAUGAUGUCCUGUACAUCUGUGACCAUCAACAUCCGAGUCAUAUUUUCCUGCACGGAAUACAGAGAUGUGGAAAUCAGACAGUGGUUUAUACAGGGUAACUGGAUCUUUUUUGCAAGUUCCAACAGUUUGUGAGAACAGCAUAUCAGGAACUACAAGUGUGAAAGUGCAGCUGCUGAAUAUGUGGAAAUCAGACAGUAGUUUACACAGGGUAACUGGAUCUUUUUUGCAAGUUCCAACAGUUUGUGAGGAUAGCAUAUCAGGAACUACAAGUGUGUAAGUGCAGCUGCUGAAAUGAAGACUUCUUACACGCACAACAAUAAGAUACCCCUCUGUCUCUUUUACUUGUCCACUACACUAAAAAAAGAUGUAAAUUUUUACAGUUUGGUAAACCAAGAGAUAAUUUACCACUUUAACUUUAUUAUUAAGUACUACUAAUCAUUUCAAUUCAUUUCCGAACAUUUUGGAUCUAUAAUAAUCAUAGUUAGUUUUCCAAUAGUUAAUAAAUGCAUCAGGCAACGUCCCUCAACUAUCCCAACUAAUCUAUAUUGUAUAAAGGCGUGUUUAAAGCGCGUUUAAGCCCUAAAGCGACGCGCAAAACAUGUUGAACGUCUCGCCUCACCUAGCGGGCGCUUCAAUGUCAUCAUUAAGGCUCUUAGACAUACUUUUUCUUGUCAAUGAGUGCAAUGCUGAAGGGGCGACACUAAACAAUUGAUAUUUCAUCAUAUAUAUAUAUAUAUAUAUAUAUGUAGGGAAAAUCUCACUUUAUACCAAUUGAAUUUAAACUAUUUACCCUUAAAUACCCAUACCUAAACUAUUUAUCUUUCCUACCUAUGCCUUUAAUACUAUUUACCCGCCCACAUUAGAUUUGUUGGAGUGAUUAGCUAUUCGUUUUUAUUUUUUUCUUCCUUUUUAAUAUAGAUUUUUAGUGUCAUCUUUACCUUUUAAUAUAGAGUGGUGGACAUGCGAUAUUUUUUUGUAAUAAGUGCAGUUGUUUUAUACUUGCCUGGUGCUUAUAUUUUGUACUCGUUGAAGGACAAAUUAGUGAUGCAGUUUCAUUAGGAGAUAACAGUGUUGUAAAUAGCGCUCGCUACAGCGCUAAACGCGUGUAGCGAGGCGAGGCGAGGCUAUAGCGCCACACAGGGGGCUGUUGCAUUGCGAGGCAGAAUAGCGUGCGCCUCUGCUUCUGUAUCCUUGAUUCGCAGNNNNNNNNNNNNNNNNNNNNNNNNNNNNNNNNNNNNNNNNNNNNNNNNNNNNNNNNNNNNNNNNNNNNNNNNNNNNNNNNNNNNNNNNNNNNNNNNNNNNNNNNNNNNNNNNNNNNNNNNNNNNNNNNNNNNNNNNNNNNNNNNNNNNNNNNNNNNNNNNNNNNNNNNNNNNNNNNNNNNNNNNNNNNNNNNNNNNNNNNNNNNNNNNNNNNNNNNNCACAUCAAAAAGGCGAGCGCUUCGCUGCGCGCCUCUCGCCUCACUGAAGCGAGCCCUCGUCGCUAUUUGUCGCCGCGCGCUAUCCAAAACACUGGGAGAUAAUUCCAUUUUGUAUUAUUUUUGCGUGUUAGAAUCAAAUCGAUCCAGCACUGCAAGAAUCAAAACGAUCCAGCACUACUCCAUUGGUCUCCAAUUAAAUAUAGCUAAUAUUAUUCUUUGAUGCGUAGAUUGUACCUUUGAUGCUGGUUUUUGGAGAUUUAUUGUACAAAAAUUGUUUUUGGAGAUUUAUUGUACAAAAAUUUAAAUCCACCGUAGACGGACCUUGGAGCUUGAAACUCAUAACUUGGUUUGCUUGAGUUUUUAAUUGUUUUGAUUCGAUCCUGUAUGUGUUAGUUUGGAAAGUUGAUUGGAGGUUGAAGCUAAAGUUUUAGUCAAUUUGGUGGAAAUUUUGUAGUAAAUUUUAGAAAUUUGGGUUGAAAUAUAGUUGAAUCAGAGAAGAAGACGAAUUUAUAUUGUAUACCUAAAUAGUAUACAAAUAUACCAUUUUAGUAUACAAUUCAUUCUAACUAUACCCUAUUAGUAUAGCUAUAUACUAUAUUGGUAUCAUAUGCUAGUUGAAUUAUUUUUUUGGUUGUAUUAGUUGUAUCUAAUUGGUACAAUAUUUGAUUUUCUUUUAAUAAUAGUAAUAUAGUAUAAUAUCUUGAAAUACCNNNNNNNNNNNNNNNNNNNNNNNNNNNNNNNNNNNNNNNNNNNNNNNNNNNNNNNNNNNUCUUGAAAUACCUUAUUAUAUUAAUAUGUGGUACACUAUUUUUUUAUUUUUCUCUUUAUGCAUGUGUGUUAUGUAAUAGUAGUAUAAUCAUAUAGUUACCGGAAAUAAACUAUAAAAACUGUAUAUCAUGUUGGUAUAGUUAUAUGCCAUAUUGGUAUCAUAUUGUAGUUUGAACAUUUUUUGAUUGUUUUAGCUGCAUUUUAAGUGAAUUCUAUUAUGAAAUUAUUUAUAUCAACAUGAGUUGCAAUAAUGCUGGAAUUUUUGUGUGCCGAUGGACAUAAAUUAUGUGUAUUAAUAGUUUUUAUAGCUAUAGACAAUGUUGGAACAGCCCCAUACAACUAUAUACCCUCUUAGUAUAAGAAAUAAACAAGUUGUUUUGCGAAUAUUUAACUUGCGAUACGAGCAUGUAAUUUUCUCAUACUUUUAUUGCAUCCUUUAAUAUUUUGGUAGAGUAGUGUAGUCGCAAAUAGUUGUAGCAAUAUUCUAUAGAAAUCAUAUGCUAUGUUGGUAUACAUAUAUACCAUAUUGGUAUCACAUGGUAGGUACUAGAAGUCUUUUUCGCUACUUAGACUUUUAUUCUAUUUUUUAAUAUUUUAUUAUCAUUUUUAUUCUAACUAGUAUAUAUGGAGAUUUGGUUGACGUUGAUUAUGCUUUCUUACUCUAUAACUGGUUGUAUUACUGCUAAUGGUAGAGUGUGUAUUGAUAUUUAUAGGGAAGGAGAUCAACGUUUGCAUGGCAAUCACGUAUUGAUUCUUAGAAUCUGAUUAUGUAAUUUAUGGUGCUCAACAACAGUCAAUGUGAUAUUUCGUGUAUUAGAUCAAGUGACAACUUAUAUUAUUUCAGUUUAAUAAUUGAAUUUAAAAAAUAAGAAAGAAAAAUAAAAUAAAAGGUAUAUUGUACUAAUUAUAUUUUAAAAAAGGUGAACAAAUAUUUAUUAUAUCAAUUAUUUUCUUAUUGUAUAAAAAAAGAAAAAUAAAAUAUAGUAAAAACGGUAGAUGAAAUUAGAUUAUGAAGAGAAAAAGAAUAUAAAAAAGAAGCUAAAUGAAAUUAUAAAAGGAAAAAAGAAAAAAAAUAAGAAGAAAACGAUAAAAAAGAAACGUAGAAAAGAAAAAAAAAAAGAAAAAGAAGAAGAAAAGAAGCAUAGAAAUAAAAAAGAAUUGGAAAAGAAAAAAUUUCCUACAAAAACUACUAUGGGUAGGAAAUGUAAUAAGUUUAAGGGUAGAAAAACAAAUGGGUAGACAAAGAUAAAUAAUUUUAUUUUUGUGGGUAACUGUGUCAAAAUCCCCAAAAGUUACUUAUGCUGAGAUGGUCUUGGUCAAAAUGGGCUAAAGUUUGGGUCAUAGUCCGACCACCAAACUCUUACCAAGUUUUAAUUAAUGUGUUAUUUUCUUAUGAAUUGUAUAAUUACUAAAUAUACUUUUUUAGUUUGUUAUGGUCAUAUAUAACAUAUCAAACAAAAAUAUUUCUAAAAUACUUUGGCAAAGUUAUGGACUCCACAUACAUAUUUGUAUUUUUUCUUCAUUUGCGUCUUUCUUCAUUAAGGCUCAUGCUUUAUUUGCGUCUAAAGCUCCCAACAGACCGUAAAGCUUUUUUGUGCUUUCCGCCUUUGAUAAUAGCGGCUUCUUGUUAAGCUUAAUAAUUGUAUCAGACAACGUCCCUCCAUUACACUUGCAAAAUUCUUCAGAGUUUGUUGGUGAAUUUAUCUUGUAGCCAUACCUUCGUGAACUCUCUCGGGAACUUUUGCUCCAAUUUUUUUUAUAAGGACCACGUGAAAGUGUUAAAACCAAUAUUCAAUUAUUAGGUUGGAAACUUGAACAAACUGUUAGUUGGUUGCAACUGUUAUGUUUGAUUGAUUUCAAUUAUUUAGAUGAUUUAUUAUAAUUAGGGAUGGUAUAGUAAAAUUAUCACUUUAUUAAUUACUUCAUUAUCACUUUAUUAAUUACUUCUUAGGGGGGCUCGUCCAUGUUUGACUAGGCACAUCCCUUAAGAAGCAAUUAAUAAAAUGAUAAUUCACUCUAUCACCCUAAUUAUAAAUAGCCAUCUAAAUAAUUGAAAUCAAUAAAACAUAAAAGUUGCAGCUAGUGGUGGCAAAAUGGUUAAAAGAAAAUAGUUAUCCACCCAUAUUAUCCAAUAAAAUAUGGGUUGGAUAACGAGAUUUUUAAAAACGGGUUAAAUAUGGAUAAGAACCAUACUAUCCACUUAGAAAAUAGAUAAUUAAUGGAUUUAGCUUUUACAUUUGUAAAUCUUCACAUUGGGGAUUCCAAUUUGGGAGGCUAGGAAUUCUUCCAAAAGUAAUCAUACUCAAGAAGCCGGGGAAUAAUAUGGAUAUAAAUAUUAUUUGUCCGAUUAACCCGUUUUUUAUUUGUAUUAACUACGGGUCGAGUCGGAUAAUUAAUCCAUUUUUUGCAUUACCCUUUUUUGACCCCUCAUAUCCGACCUGACCCGCCCGUUUGCUACCCCUAGUUGCAGCCAACUAAUUGUACGUUCAAGUUUCCAUCCCAAUAAUUAAAUAUUGGUUUUAACACUUUCACGCAUCUCCUAAAAAUAUUGGAGCAAAAAUUUUUACCCUUGUUUCCUCUUAUACAUUUUUAAAAAAAAAUUCCACAGAAAAUAACCCUUUUAAAAAUGUUUCGCUCUGUUGAGAGAGAUCACAAAGGUAUGGCUACAAGACAACAACGACCCAGUGUAAUUCCACUAGUGGAGUUUGGGGAGGAUAGUGUGUACACAGACCUUACCCCUACUCCGAGCGGUAGAGAGGCUAUUUCCGAUGGACCCUCUGGCUCAGAAGACGAAGAGAGACAAUGGCUACAAGACAAAUUCACCAAAAUACUCCAAAGGUAUGCUUCACUCUAAACAAGGGUGAUGGAGGGAUGUUGCCUAAUGCACUAAUUAAGUUUAACAAAAAUCACAAGUACUCCAUACAACAUAUAGAUUAAUUGUGGUUAUGGAUGUGUUUAUUAACUAUUGGAAAUCUAACUUUGACUAUUAUAAAUCCAAAAUGCUGGGAAAUGAAUUGAAAAUGAUUUGUAGUACUUAAUAAUAAGGAUAAAAUAGGUAUGAAAUGGUAAAUUAUCCCUUCGGUUUCCAAACCAGACAAGUAAAAAUGGACAUCUUUUUUUAGUAUUGUGGACAAGUAAAAAUAGACGGAGGGAGUAGUUUGUAUGCGGCUAAAACUUACCAAACCGAGAUAACGAAUAUUUGGCUCACGGACAGCAAUGAAUUUCCCAAGCAGUGCAACACAUUGAGACAUCAUCUCUUUUUCAGCAUCAAGAUGCAUGACCUGCAGCAAAUCAAUUAGAAGUCAAACUUAGUAAGUAUUUCAAGAAAGCAAGGGACAACUUAGAACAGCAGCCAGGCUUUGAAAAUUCAGAUAAUGAUUAGAAGUCAAACUUAGUAAGUAUUUCUCUUUUUCAGCAUCAAGAUGCAUGACCUGCAGCAAAUCAAUUAGAAGUCAAACUUAGUAAGUAUUUCAAGAAAGCAAGGGACAACUUAGAACAGCAGCCAGGCUUCGAAAAUUCAGAUAAUGCAACAAGUCCAUCUUAUGAACCAAAAAAACCAACAGAGAUCUUGUCACGUAACUAUAAAUCCUGAAUUUGUCAGGAAACUGGAAGAAAUAGACGAUGUAUGAGUCUGAAGUUGACAUCAUCACAAAUGUCCAAGAAAAAGAGAACAGCAGCACCACAUAACAGUUUUGAAUAAUAUCACCAGGCUUUCCACUUCAGGAAUAUCAUUAUUCAUAGAGAACUAACUUACUCAAUGUAAGAUGUCACUGCCAUUAGCAUAUGAACAAGAAAUCUUCAUAUAGAGCGCAGAUUUAAAGGGAAAGGAUAAUGGUUGAUGCAUUUAGAAACUUACAAGAGCAAGGGCUUCAAAGAGGACAGCAUGUGAUGCAUUGUUCUUGUUCACAUUUUUCACCACAUCGGUUCCCAUCAAUAUCCUUUGCAAAACCUGAUUGAUUAUAAUGAAUCCAGAACAUUUUUUAGAUUUUCUGCAGAUUCUUUUUGGACAAAUAAAGAUCAAAUAGAAAAGGUGAUAUGCUCUCAGUAAGAUUAUUUCUGUUUAGCAGGCGAGCAUACCUCAAACAGUGAUCUUCUAGUGUUUGGAUCCUCAAUAGUAGGAAAAUACUGAAGAGCCCUCAUAGUCUUUACCUGAAAUGAAAAUCAUCAAAAUUGAGACCAUGCUUACACAGAGAUGCUAGAUUCUGACAUAUUCUUUCACAUUGAUGCAUCAAAUGUGACAUCCUAUCUGUGCACCCAACUCUAUUUCAUGCAUUCAAUUUGCAUAAAUUGAUCACCCAUCCGAGUAAAGCAUAUCAGUAUUUGUAAAGUUCAGAACAUAUUGAGUUUUUUUCUUAAGCAAGUUACAGCUAUUGCAGAGUGCACAGGAAAAGUAAAUAAACCUGAAGCCAGGGAGAUGGGAUCUCAUAGUAGGUAUAUUCUUGUGGUACAUCUUGGCUCCUUGCAAGCCUUUCCAAUACUUUAACACAUUUUGGAAGACAACUCCAAUAUUCUUCGUGGUUAUAUGACACUAAUGCAACUAGAAGGCUCAUGGAAGAUGUCAAGACACCUAAAUCCCGUUCAUCUAGCAGUUGUGCCAUCCGAUCUGACCUGGAUUAUGACGAAAACUCCAAUUGUUGGGACAUAAAUGAAGUCAAUUCAUAAACAUCCACAUAAGUUAUUACACUUACCAGCCAUCUACAUUCAUGACAUCAGGAUUUUUCCUGAAAAGACGUAGGAGACAUAAUGCAGCCUUCUUCCUCACCAGUGGUCUGCAACUGCUUGAUAUCUGAAUCAAAAAAAAAAAGGAAAAAAGAAUAGAAAGCCCACGUCAGUCAUAGACUUGGGAUACUGGCUGGCUACUGCAAAAAUCACUUACAAGUAACUUUUGAACAUCAGGAGCUAGAGAUUCUGCAAAGUCCCUUCCCCCAAUAUUUCCGACCUGUACAGAUAUAUCAAACAGUUGAAACUUGAAACAAACUAACAAAGAACAACGGAGCUGCUUCUAGGAAAAAAAAAAGAAAAGAUCUGAAAUUCGUACCAACGUCAAUGCUAGACACUGGAAAGUCUCAUUGCGGCCAACUAUGUCAUUGCGUACUGUAUUAAUGGCUAAUCUUACAAAAUCAUGAUUCUCAUUGAGCAAACAUGAUGUCACUAUAUACCCAACCUACAAAAUACCCAAAAAUUCAGUUGAACUUUUUAAGCAUUUGCUUCAAGAAAAUUAGACAAAAAACGGAAGGUGCAACACAAGGAAGAGUGGCAUAUGCUAGCUCACCUAUCUAUAUGAAUGCAUGGACAUUACCAAAUAAAACAAGAGAUUGAGAACCCAAAACACUCUCCAAUUUAAUCAAAUGUUAAACCGUGACAAAAACGGUUUUAUGAGAAAUAUCAAACUCUGGAAGGUUCACGAUCAUUAAGAAUAGACCCAACAGAUAUGAGUGUUGCAUUCAACAUGAAUAAAGUCACCAAGAUACUAGUAUAAAAAGUAAGAUGUGACAAAACAAAUUGUGUUUUCCAUACAUUCUCAAUUUACUAGUCAUACACAUCAAUUCAAUCAAAUAGAUGAAAGACUUUUAACUUACCUAAACCAAUUUUGAUGAGUUAUCCAUGUCUAGAAAUGAAAAAGGGAAAAAGAAGGUACCUGCUUCUCAGGAUACUUUGGAGCAGAUAUCAGAGAUACAGCUUCCAUGUGACCAAAGUCCACAUCAUAACCAAGCAUAUAAAUAUACAGCAUUUUCCAGACAUAUUUCUUCUUUUCAUAUGGUGUCAAACCCUGUAUAAUGCAAAAUAUAAUUCAAUAUUCAGGGGCAACAUCUAUGUUAAUUUAACAUACGAUGAGGCAGGUCUAUGGGUGAUGAUUUUAGGAGGAAAAAAAAGAUGAUUUUUUUAUAAGAAGCAAACAUGGGAAAGCAGUGAACAAAUAUGGAAGGAUCUGGUCCCUGAUGACAAAGCAUAGUUUGCAAGACUUAUGGUGAACUGAAUAAAAAGUCAACAGAGAGAACAAGAAAGGGGGAAACAAAGAAAACGAGCGACAGAUAGAAAGAUAAAGAGGGGGGAGAGAGAUAAAGAAAAAAGAAUCUAUAUUCCGAAACUUUUUUAACUGUAGCCUGAAUGCAUUUAAAGUGCAACACAUUCAACUUCUGCGCAGAUGAUACAAUGUUAAUGCAAAUAUUGAAUAUAAAUUGCCCCUAUUACAGAAAAAAAAAUUGAUGCCAAAAAAACAAAUGCACCUAUUUCUGCAACACUUCUACCUCAAGUUCAUUCUUUCUUAAAACAUAGAAAGGCUGCAAACUGCCAAGUAGACAGCACGCAAGAAAUCCAAAAAUGACAUGAGCUACUUUCAUAACCGUCCGAGAAGCUUAGAACACACUAAAGGCUGUUUCAAAGUUCCAUCAAGGAAAUAGUUAUGGCGGUGACAACUAAUGGUUAGAGAGAACUAGCACUGAUGUCACUGAUAGUUGUUAGCAACGGAAGUUGGUAAAGGAUAGAUAACAAGCUAUUAUAGAUGGCUAGACAGGACAGAGAGACUACUCAAUCAUUGAUAUUUCUAUAAGUAAAAUAUUUCAGGAUCAGGAGAAAGACGUUGACACUUCAUUAGCUCCUAUGCAUCUUUGCUAAACGAGUACCUCCCAAUAGUUCUAGGUUCAUUGAAGAAAAAGGCUCAUAUGAACUUGACUUGUUUUGAAAAUCCAUGAAAAGGAGUUCAUGUUUCAUUAGAUUUGUUAAAUAAAGUCUCUCUACAGUCUUUCACAAGAGAAGGUGAUAACUGAUAAGCUCUAGCAAACACGGUCUCCCAGAGAAACUCUUCUCUUGAAUCCAACCAUUACUUGCAUGAGUUGCAGUGAAACCAUUCUUCAUUUAUCUUUGCUUGGUCUCUUUUUUAAUUGUUAUUUAUCUUAGCAUGGUUUUAAUACCAUAUUUCCGGGAAUUAGAACGAAAUUGAUGAUACUCUAUCCUUGUGCAGUUUCUUUUGCAUACUGUCUUUAGAAUGAUUCAGGUCUACCAAUGACUCUGGAUAGUCCAGCUUUUUACAAAUUUCAGGGAUUUCAAGAUUAGAAGGGUGGUGUAUCUGCCAAUUCUGUGUGUAUUUGGAUAGUUUGCCAUAUCAGAAUGUUGAAGAUCAUCACUUAACUUAUGAUAUUGUUUAAGUCAACUUUUCCAAUUUGCAUACAAAGUGGAAACAUUUAUUAGGGAAGCUUCACGCUUGACUACACAAAAUUUAGGACAACAUCAAUAAAACAUCUCUCAAAUAGCAUACUCUCGAUUUCAUCAUAGAAACUUUUAUAUUUUCAUAGAAAAAUGUUUUGUUAGUUUUGAAUAUGAAUGUAGCUGGUAAGAAAGAAAUGAUUGUCAUAUUCAUUUGAGGUACAUAUUCCCCCCUAUGGAGAUGUUUUGGAUAGGAUGGAAAGCAGUGGCCCUAGUCUCUUCUUGCUUGAAAAGGAAUUUUGUUUGCGAUGAUAGUAAUACUAGUUUUAUUUCAUGGUUCACAAUAAAAAAACUCCAGCAAAAUACUGAGACAAAGAAACGAGACAAACAUAGUGAAUUUAGGUGGCCAGUAAGAGGAAGCUUCCAGUAUAUUCUUCAAUUCCUGUUAUUUUGGGGAUGACGGGGUCAGAGAAGACGUCAUUAUAAGGAUUGCAGCCUGGUUAUCAGGUAUUUUAAGGAUAAAAAUAAAAUAAAAAAUUUAAUAACAUCUGUAUCAGGAAUACAUUUUGACAUUUACCCCCAAGGAAAUUGAAUGUUACACUACUUACAAUUGACUGAGUUAAUCAUUAUAAAUAUGUUAAUGUUUUAGCCUUGUUAUAACUGAGCAGCUUAGGGAAGAGCAUCAAGUACCUGUCAGUUCAUAAUGCGUCUAAACUACUAUCAGGUAUUUUAAGGAUAAAAAUAAAAUAAAAAAUUUAAUAACAUCUGUAUCAGGAAUACAUUUUGACAUUUACCCCCAAGGAAAUUGAAUGUUACACUACUUACAAUUGACUGAGUUAAUCAUUAUAAAUAUGUUAAUGUUUUAGCCUUGUUAUAACUGAGCAGCUUAGGGAAGAGCAUCAAGUACCGGUCAGUUCAUAAUGCGUCUAAACUACAAUAAAUAUAAUUUCUGCUCCUCCCUUCUAUAGUAGAUCACUAUAAAAUUCGUGUUAACAUUGAUAGUCUGGAGAAGAAAGACCUUCCUCCCUCUCACCAAAUCCCCUUUUGAACAAGAGAAGAAAUAACUGAGAUUUCACUUUAUCAUCAGCUGCCAUUGAAGGAUAGUCCAACUCCAUUCAAAUGACUCCUUCCCCCUUUCACCUCACCCCACUUAAUAGCAACUUAAGGAAAAUGACAUGGACAAAGCUUCACAAGACAACCAAUUUCUGACCAUUCUACAUCUUUCUUUGUUUAUUGGUCUUCUUAUUUUUAAUAAUUGAGAAAUCUCCGAGGGCCAAUUGACGCAUGGUCGGAAACUCAGUGGAUAAUGGGCUCGCCAUCUACCCUUCCCUACUUAAGUACCAGGUUUUUGUUUGCAGCGGUAAUGCUUGACAUGCAUCUAACACACAUACAUAGCCACACUCUUUUGUUUUUUGAUCUAAUAACUUUCAGGAUAAAAAAUGAAGCAAAGAAACAAAGGCAACCUAUCCUGAAUACUAACAUGCUAAUUGCACCUAACAAGAGCAUCACCUUGCAUCAAAGGGAUUGUAGAAAAAGAAGUUGAUAUAAUCCUGGUUGUAAGGCGUAUAUGCUUCCAAAUUAAUUUUCAGAAUAUCCUAGUAAAAGCUUAAUAUUUCUAAAACCAGUCAUACCAUCAGCAACCACAAAUCAUUUCGAUCGUACUUCAAAACAACUGAGCAUCCCUUUGGAAUACCAUAUUUACCUCAUUUCCAGGUAUUACCUGAUACAACACAUAAAGAAUUCAGAUUUCACAAUAGCUUAUGUAAGAAAGUAUAUCUUUGUCUUACCAGCCUUGGGCAAAGUAAUAGUUCGGGUACACUUCCUUGGGGAGAGCUGCCACAACAUGUUACCGCCAUUUCAAAUGUGAUAUCAGGUACAUAAAUGGAUAUCAGUUAGAUUGGCAUAGCCAAAAGGUCCUCCUCCCUUCAGCACUCUAGGUGUGAGUUGCACUAACUGCCACUAAGUGCUUUUUUACGGGCUUAAUUUUUGGUAUACACCAUCGACAACUUGCUGUUUUAUUUACUACUAUUCAACUUAUGACCAAGUGAAAACCCCUUAUUUGACAUAUCCCCCAACAGUAGCUAACAGACCUUUAAAUAUAUGCCACCUUCAAACUGCUAUCUCUCUUUUAGAAACCAGACCCCACAUUGUUUGUCUAAAAACGUACUUCCAUCCCAAUUUAUGACAUUCUUUCCUUUUCGAAAUGUCACAAAUGUUUGACACUAUAUCUUUUUAUUGCUAAUUUGACACUGUCAGUAAACUAUUCAAAUAUUAAACUUUGAUUUUAUGUUUUCUCUAUUGAAUAAACUAAUCAACCAUUAUUUUAGUAUUCCAUUCUACUAUCACUAAUAAAUCUAUAUGUCAAAUUAAUAUCUUAAACUCUAUACUCAGCUAAAUACAUCACAUAAAAUGAACCAAGAGAGUAGCAUAAGCAUCUAACUUUUUUCUCUUUUAUUGCGUGCAAAUCUAUCUUCUUGUGUCAAGGGUCUAUCAGAAACGGCCUCUGUACUCUUCCGGAAAAGGAAUAAGCUCUGCGUACACACUACCCUACCCAGACCCCACUUGUGUGAUUUCACUAGGUGGUUGUUGUUGUUUGGGUGCAAAUCUAAUUGGUUUCCAAACUGAGUUACCCUAUCAGUUUCUCACAAUAUAUUAAACUAUGUGGUUAAACAUCCUUUCAAUGACAAGAAUCUGUUUAAUUACGGCAAGUUACUCUUUUUUUCCUUAUAGCCAACUUGCAUACAACUCCACUAAUUAUACAUGUGGAAAGAAAUAACCUAGUGCUUACUUAACUAACAGUUAAAACCAUCACUAUAGCACGUCCAACAUAACCCUAGCAUAAUGCAGAAAAAGCAGGAACUCAAUUACUCUUCACUGACGUAAAAUUCAAGGUUGAAAUUUUGCAUUUCCUAAUAAACCAUAUCACAGACAUUAGCUAACAGAGUUGUAAUUGCAAAAAAAAGUGAAAACCUUUUCGUUUUUAAAGCGAGUACGAAUAUUGCCGAGCUCUUUAUCGACACGAAGACGUUCCUGUUCUUUGUUCUGGCAAUUACGAAUGUCGCUUAUGAACACCGACAAUCCUCUCAUUCCAGAUAACGCCAUUUCCGUUCAGAUCCAGCCGAUAAGGUCCUUUCACUCUGUCGUUUCCUUUGAUCCGACGGUCCACAAAGAAAGAUCGAGGUUCAGAUCACGAACGGUAUUGGCGGCUCUAGAGGUCUGCUCACUCCCUCAUUUUCUUUGAUCCGACGAAGAAAGAUCGAGGUUCAGAUUACGAACGGUAAUGGCGGCUCUACGUGUUUUGCGCACGAAAUGUAUAGAUAUAUAGAUGUGUAUCAGUGUAUGUAUAUGGAGAGA